CUUUGUGACCCCCCCUCACCCCCCAGUGCCGGCCCCUCCCUCUCAAGGCAAAGAGAUCACAGAGGAGGGGUUGGGGUCCUGGGGCCAGCUCACAGGUGCCCAUGGUCCAGCAUGAUCACUGCCUCUUUUCUUUGUAAAUUUCUAUUCCUUUGUGGAACACCGCAGGUUCAGAAAUGUGCGUUGAGGUUCUUUUCUCAUCUUCAACUCUGUAAAACAAUACAGUCGAAGCCGCCACAGUUUAACAUCAAAUACUUCCUACAUGGGAUUAUGGCUGGGUUAUUAGGUUUCUGGUUUUUCAAAAGCUGUUACUCCAUUUCUGAGAGAAGAGCUCAGGAAGCUAAGCCCUGUGUAACCUGGGAAGGCCAGUACUUUUCCUUUCCUCGCUAAUUUCAGCAGGUGCACUCCGAAAUUCCCAUGUGCAAUUGUAACGCACACCACACAGAGAGAUUUCAGCUUGGCCUGGAUUCAGAAUUAAAAGACAAAAAUGUUAUUUAAUUCGGGUAGCUAAUUUUGGAUUUUUUCCCUCAACAUAAUAAUAGCUUGUCUCACUUUAUCACUGCAUUAGUCAGCCUGGGCCGUCAUAACAAUACCGCAGACGUGGUGGCUUAGGCAACCGAAGUGGAUUUUUCUCGCUGUCGUGGAGGCUGGAGGGCUGAGGUGGGGGGCCAGCGCGCUCAGGGUUUGGUGAGCCCUCUCCUGGCUUGCACUGGCUUCAUUUUCCCUGUGUGCUCAGCGUGUGUGGAGGGAGGGAGCGAGCUCUCAGGUGUGUCUUCUGAGGACAAGAGUCCUGGCUGGGGCAGGCCCUGGCCCUUAUGACCUUAUUUAACCUUAUGACUUCCUUAGAGACCCCACCGGCCGUGCUGGGGUUAGAGCCCCAGCCUGUGAAUUUGGGGGGAACGCAGAUGUUCAAUCCGUAUUUAUUCUGUAUUUUUUGUUAAUCUCUGUGCUUUAUUUUAAGGAUAGUAAACUAGCCUCUGUUCACUAACGUGGAGCGCUAGCUUAAGCAUUUAAGUAUCCCACCUGUGUGGCAUCUGUCACUUCCUCUCCCAAGGACCCUGUGAAGUAGGUACCAUGGCCAGCCCCGUUCUGCUGCAAUGGCAGCUGAGGUCCAGUGUGGCCCAGGUCACCCGGCCAGGAAGUGUUGGUGCCGUGUCUCCAAGGCUGUGCUGCUGCUCCGCCCACGGUGGGGGUGACAGCAUUGCCCGCGGAGGCCCCAGAGCCCCGCCACACCUCGCUUCGGCCCUAGCACAGCUGUGAAGGAAGCGUUUUAUCCACAGGAAGCUCCAGCUCUUUGUCUUCCUCUCCAGGGACUUUGGUGUGCCGGACACCAUGACCCCACACUGACGUUCUGGUGUUCACUUCAAGUCAGUGCCUGCACACUGAAGCCAGGCAGGCCUGGGUGUGAAUCCUGGCUCAUUCCCUCCCUCCCUCCCUCCCUUCCCUCCUUCUUUCCUUCCUUCCAUUCUCCCCUCCUCCCUUCCUUCUUUCUUCUCAGCAAAUAUUUAUCAGGUGCCAGCUACGUUCUGAGCACCGUUCUGGUUGCAAGACCAGCACAGGACCCCCAGCAAAUAAGUCAGCCUCCCCAAGCCCCAGCCUCCCGAGUUGCUCCAGGAGCAAUGAUGCCCACUGCGUAAUCGUUGUGGGGGGAGUGGUGUAGAGAGGGCAGCCAGGGAGGUCCUGGUGAAUGACAGACGCCAAGCCGGCAAGGAAGACACACAAUUAAAAUUCUGGGUAUUGCAUGCAUUGUAUAGAUAGAACUGAGGAGCCUAACAGAUCAAUAGUUAGCCGUAUGUCCUCGGGCAAGCCAGUGCGCCUGCCCGGAUCUGUUAGUACUUCAUCUGCAAACGAGCAGGUUGUGUUGGAUAAUCCCCGGGCGUUAUUUUUGGCUCCCCACGUGUGUGGCCAGAGGGCCACGUGUGUCGCCUGCUCCCCUGCGCCUUCAGGUGCCAUCAGACUUUUCCGAGUCGGAGUUUGCUCCAAAAGGGAAUUUCUGCAGUGCAAUCCUGGUUCCCUUCCACCCUACUCCGUGGCCUUCCAGCCACACCACAGCCCUGCUUGGGUCUGCAGUGGCCCCUCUGCUGGCUGGUGCCCAGAGAGGAGGUACAUUUCAGUCACCUUAGCCUUGGAUCUGUAAUUUUUAAAAAAUUUUGUCUAUUUAUUUUCAUUUUACUUGAAAGGCAGAGAGACAGACUGAGAUCUUCCAUCCACUGCUUCACUCCCCAAACUCCUGCAGCAGCUGGGGCUGGGCCAGGCCAAGGCCAGGAGCCAGGGACUCCAUCCAGGUUUCCCACAUGGAAGGCAGGGGCCCAAGUGCUCGAGCCACCGUCUGCUGUCUUCCCGGGGUGCACGUUAGCAGGAAGCGGAGGCAGGCCUCGAACCUCACUGCUCCGAUGCCACCGUCGGCGUCCUAACCACUGCACCCAACACCCACCCCGGGGUACUUAACUGGUCUCAGGGAUUUACGUGCGCCAGCUCUGAGCUGACCCCUACAUCAGAGCGACUGAUGCUGUCCGUUCCCAGUCACAGGUUUGCCAGAGAGAGCCUGGCCAUGCCAGAACGCUUGAAUGACCUGUCUUUUAAAAAGUCUGUCGAUUGUUGGAAACGUUCCCGAAUCUUAUCCAGCCCUUGCUUACCGAUAGGGUGGCGGCAGGUCCCGGCGUGUGCUGCUGGUUUGUGCUGUCAUUUCAGCGACAUUGUUGGCAGGACCCCACCCCAUCCCACCCCACUCCCUCACCCUGCUCUUAGGUCUGGGUGAUAAUCAGUAACCAUGAAAUUAAUCACGCGUACCCAGCUUACGUACGGAGCACUUAACCCCCAUGCCAGACUUUUUCUCGUCACCUCCCUCAUCCCCUCUUAGGCCUGGUAAGAUAAACACUGCAGGUGGGGGAGACUUAGCACCCUGGCAUCCCAUGAUUCCUGGGUUCCUGCUCUGGGAUUCUCAACGUCCCACAGCAGGAAGGGCCUAGGACUCUGCCAUUCCUGUCCCCCAGGAGGAAUUGGGCUCAGGGCCUAUGGGAUGUUCUCAGGCAGCGUCGAUAGAUAGCAGCGGAUGGGGAACCUGAACGCAGGUCUCUGCUGCAGGCUGGUUUUUUCUCGUGUUGCUGAAUUCCAUGUCAGAUCAUGCCCUUCCCCCCUCCCAUCCCACCCACGAGGACUCAGAGCAGGCGCAGGACUGGGGAGACCUUUGUCGACAAAGCCAGCCAGGACAAGAAAGGCCGGGAGCAGUCCAGCUACCCUUAGGGGCUCCCUGCCCUGAGCAGGUCUGAUGCCGUGCAGACACCAGCGGUCACCACCAGGGGGAGGUCACUUCCUGUCUGCGGAGUGGUUGCUGCCUCUUGCCUGGGACCUCACUCCAGGCAUCAGAGACUGAAAGAGGGUUUUCAGAAGGGAGAAGUCGCACCUCUUGCUUCCAAGAAACUGCCACAAAGAUGCGUUUAUCGUUGACACUUGGGAGUGGAGAGAGACCUCCCAGCUCCUGGUGGGAAACCAUGCAAGUGCCCUCUUGGGACAGAGUGGGAAGUCCCCAGGUCUGCAAGAGGGGACCCUUGGACAAGUGGCCCUGCUGCCCCAGCUAUGCCUCACCCCCAUUUCCUUGGCAUUGACUCAGAUUAGCAACAUCAAGGACUCCAAAGAGAGAACCCAGUCCCCCGAAACAGAGAUGGUAGGGAUUUUCCCCGUGGGCCCCAGAUCCUAGGUCUCAGGACCUGUGUGGUAGGAAUUGUUCUCCCACGUGAGAGUCCCCGCCCCGGGUAGGUUCCCAUGGACUGGCAGUGCUCUGCUGGAGCCGCAAUCUACGAGUUCCACUUGUGUAUCCUCGCCUGCGGGUCUGGGCCAGCAGUCAGGACUCCCCCUGCAGCGCCGACGCACAGGCUGCUUGCCGCAGGAUUCCCCGGGGUCACAGUUCACCAGCCCUUUGCUGGUGUUUGCAAAGGGCAUUGCGGUCAUUCGUGUCAGGGUCUCUCUUUCAGGGUGGCCAAAUCCAAGCUGUUGCUUUCAGAGGAGGCAUCGGUGCUGGAUGUAGGGGGCAUGUGUUGGGGGUGACUCCCUGCGUUUGGAGGAGGAGCCGGCUGUGCAGACCCCAGCUCAGAGCACCCCGUGCCCCCCUGGUGGCUUGGAAUGAAGCAGAUGCACCUGCCAACUCCAGAGCUGUGCCUGCCGUUCUCUGUACAAGUCAGGAGUCUGCGAUCGAAAUGCUGGGGACCAGAAGUCCUUCAGAUGUCAGAGUUCUUUGGAUUUGGGGGAAUUGGCGCACACUGUACCAGUUAGGCACCCCUCAUCCACAAAGCUGAAAUGAGAAAUGCUCCAGACUCAUGGCCGUGCUCAACGAGUGUCAGAUUUCAGAUGUUCAGGUCAGGGGUGUGCAGCUUGGGUGCCUCUCCCUCCCCGGGACCCUGUCAGAGUUGCACGUGGCCUGGCUGUGUCGGCAACAGUGUCUGAAGACAGGGACGACUCAGAAAAUGAUCCGUCUUCCUCAGGGAUCUCAUUUCUGUGUCGGUGGUUGGAGGUUUUAUACUGGGUCGCCGUUUACCUUCUGUUCAUUGUUUGUCUCCUCUACUUGAGAGCACAGGGGGUCACACUGGCGGGACCACCGCUCCCAGGGCUCCUGGUCGCUUGGUACUGCUCCUGCUGGUUUCCACGGCCCCCUGAGAGAGGACGUGUGUGUAAGAAAGUCCAUGGAAGCAUAAAAGGAGAAGAUAAGCUUGCUUUUGUGCAAGGACAGUGUUGGAAGACCAUGCACAGUUUUGUCGUGGAUUUGCAUUUGCUGUGAAUUUUUUGACGACCCUCGUGUACACACAGCUGUGCUUGCCGACGCUUCCUCACAGACAGCGCCGCCUUCCUUAAGGAGAUGCCACCCAGGCGUUAGGAGCAGCCGCACAAGUCGUGUCAGCCUGGAUUCAAACGCCAGCUCUGCCAGCCAGGGGCUGCGGGAUCCUAACUUCCCUGCGCUUCGGUCUCCUGGUUAGGGAAGUGGGAUAAUAAAUGUAUCUGUCUCGUGGUGGCGUUGUAAGGGUGAAAGGGCUUGGGAGGAGUUAGGGAUUUAUUAAAAUUGUCAUUAAGAUACAAAGAUUGGCCGGCGCCGUGGCUCACUAGGCUAAUCCUCCACCUUGCGAUGCCGGCACACCGGGUUCUAGUCCCGGUCGGGGCACCGGAUUCUGUCCUGGUUGCCCCUCUUCCAGGCCAGCUCUCUGCUGUGGCCAGGGAGUGCAGUGGAGGAUGGCCCAAGUCCUUGGGCCCUGCACCCCAUGGGAGACCAGGAGAAGUACCUGGCUCCUGCCAUCGGAUCAGCGCGGUGCGCCGGCCGCAGCGCACCAGCCGCGGUGGCCAUUGGAGGGUGAACCAACGGCAAAGGAAGACCUUUCUCUCUGUCUCUCUCUCUCACUGUCCACUCUGCCUGUCAAAAAAAAAAAAAAUACAAAGAUUACCAUGUCCGUGGUGUGCUGCUUGUUUCCCCCUGUGCAGGGUCUGCCCCUAUAGUAGACACUUAGUAAACACUUGUGGUACAGAGGAAAUAAAGCACCACCUAAAAAAAUGAAAAUAUUGCCCUUUCACGCCCUUUAAUAGUAAGCAUUAUUUCCAGGAGUAACUUAGGCACGUACAGAAAUUGCAUAAAUGGGGGGUGGGGGACCAGUGUUGCGAUACAAUGGGUUAAACCACUGUCUGGGAUUUGGGCAUUCUAUAUGGACUCUGGUUCAUGCCCUGGCUGCUCCACUUCCAAUCCAGCUCCCUGCUAAGGCACCUGGGAAGGCAGUGGAAGAUGGCUGAAGUCCUUGGUCCCCAGCAUCCACAUGGGAGACCUGGAUGGAAUUCCAGGCUCCUGGCUUUGGCCUGGCCCAGCCCUGGCCAUUGUAGCCAUUUAAGGAGUGAACCAGCAGAGCAGAUGGAAUCUCUCUCUCUCUCUCUCUCUCUCUCUCCCUCCCUCCCUCCCUCCCCCCCCCAUCUCACUCUCUCUAACUCUCGCUUUCAAAUACAUAAAUAAGUCUUUUAAAAAAAAAAGGAAAACUUGUAUAAAUAGUUUUACACCAGUCGGGCCUGCAGCUUUAAAAUGAUCACAGCGUGUGUGUGUGUGUGUGUGUGUGUGUAUAAAAUGAGCAGCCUGGGGCGAUGCUGAUAAUUUGAAUGCGGCAGUGGGAUGCAUCGCACCAGCAGGCUAGCGUGGAUCUCCACCCCUGGGGACUGUGUAGCAGAAGCCGUAAUGCCACCGCAGGAUGGUUGGACUUUGUCAGAAGGAUGCUUUGCCACAAAGUUGAGAAUUUGCUAACCUAAACACUCUUUGAAAAAAAUAAAUCUCAGGACAACAUAAUGAAUAUGAAAACUCCCAUAGGCCAUGAGGCAUCAACUCACUCCUGAUGAUGACAAGAAAUCCUAGGCCUACGUCCUCGCUUAAUUAAAACGCUAAGUUGCGAUUCGGAAGGAAGGAAGCAAGCGGUCACGUUUGGCGGCAAAGCUUCUCCCCCUUCCCUUUUUCUUCCCAGGUUCUUAGAGAGUCUUCAGGGAACAGAGCUGUUCCGAAUCACAUCACCGCCUGCUGCUCUCCCCCUGGGCCCCCGCCGGCCUCCCAUCCUUUGCCAGAUCUCCUCCUUAGCAGGCAAAAUCAGCCUUCUCAUCUCAGACGCUGCCCUGUUUUCCACGAGAUGGGGCCCUGGGAAGCCGACCUUCCUUCAUCAAAUGCCUGCUGUCUGCUUAGGAUGCGCUACCCUGCUGUGCUUUUAAUUAAAUGAACCAAUCUUUGAAAACCCCAUUCUUAGCCCUGCAGCAGCUGUCACCCGGAGCCUGGCCCCCAGUACUGGGAGGUGACGUUACAGGAAGGUAUCGGUGUUGGGGAGGGGAAGGGAAGCUUUUGCAUCCUGUGACCAAGGUCCUGGGGGCCAGUUCUCCGUGCCUUCUGUUCAGGCUCAUCCCUACCCACCCUUCCAGCCCUGGAGCACGGCUGUCACAGGCUGACUUCAGCAAGAGGUCCCCUCUGCACCCUGUGAGGCUAGUCCACACGCCCGGAGAAACGCCUGCAGAGCUGGUCUGCUGAGCACUGGCUCCGACGAUCCCGCUUGUCCCCGCGUCGAUGGGUGAUUCGAAGGGUAAUCAACGAUGAGAGUGACUGAGUUUUCCACCAAGUCGCUUUGUCCUGGGGUGCAGGGGUUUACCUGAGAUAAGUCCCCUGGCUGUUGGUCAGGGUCCCACGCCCACCUCGCUGGGGAUGGGACUGGAAGCCCCCCACACUCUGGGCUUGGGUGCCUGGGUGCCAGCACCCUCAGGGAGUAGCAGCCGUGUGCCCUUUUGGUCUCAGUGACUCUUUUCAGUCCUUUUUCUAGAAGAUUCCCGGUCUCCGGUCUCCAUGCAAGGCAGCAGGAGCUUACUCCUGUCACUGUGACCAGUCUGAGCCAUCCGGGAACCCGGCUGCUGGAGUCGGGGGUCAGAGGAGAGCAAAGAUGGGAGAGCUUUCUGGAAGUCUCUCUGCAGGGUCUCACCCUCACGAAGAAGUCACAGCCCUGCUCUCCGGUCACUUUGGGGGUCUCCCUACUUCAGCCUGCUCUCUCUUCACCAGGGGUUUCCCGCGUCAUUCACCCGGAACCACCCGGGACUGUGGGGUCCCCUCCAGCCAGUGGUUCGGAGGAAGCAGGAGAGAAGGACUCUAAGAAACCAUGGCGUUUUCCGGCAGGGAGGCCUGCACUCAUGUCAGAGCACAGAGGUUGAGAGCGCAGGUCACCUGGGCUUCGUCCCAGCUCUGGUGCUCAGUUUGUCCACCUGUAAGAUGGGGCUAGCAAGGUUGCCUGAGCCGUAGGUGGGGCCUGCUUGGAGAGGGCUUGGCCACCUGAGGGGUGACCUCCAGGCUGGGUCCCCCACCCCUAAGCGAUAGUCCUUGACCCAGGUGUGUCUGGGGAGCCUUGCUCACGUGUGUGCAUGGAGUGAGGGCAUUGGGAGCUCCCAGAGUCCCCGCAUUCCUGAGUCCUCGCAUUCGUGGCAGGGACCACGCGUGUGUCCCGGCUCUGCAGAGCGGUGGCUGGUCUCUGUGCCACAUCAGGUACCAAGAUCCUCCUGCAGCCCAUCUCGCCCUGGGGCUCCUGAAGCUGUCCAGGCAGUGAGUAGGCGAGGGCUGGGGAGCAAGGCCGCUCGCUCACUCCCGCAGCCAGCCAAGGCUGCCGGCGCGUCUGCCUGUCUGCCGACGGACAAGUGGCUCCUUGGGUGGGAUGGGGACCCCACAUUUUCCCUGCCCCGGCACCCACUUCCGUGGCAGCUGAGCCAGCAGCCAGCACCGACAGCGCCUGGGCCACAGGAUCCGCGUGCUGGGGCUUGUGAUAAUGGAUGGCUGUGUACAUCGUGGAGGCCGUGGUUCGCUGAGAAGUCUCGCCCAGCCCAUCAGAACCCAGGUGGGCAGGAUUGUAAUCUUUCUGCAGGUGUUGCCCAUCCCCACCGCCACACCCCUUUAUUUUCACAGUCACGGAGAAGCCUUGAAGCAGCGGCUUAGGGCUGAAACAAGGCCAUCUGUCUUCGCUCUCUGAUGAUGCUUGCUUCCUGCCUCCCAGCCCAGCCCAGAAGCCAAAUGGCCACACGGAAGUUCUCCAGCCACUGACUGAGUGCCUGUUCUGUGCCAGUCACUACAGCAAGUGGCUUCCGGCCGGGAAUGUGCUUAAAAACUCUGAAAACGCUCACAUGGUUACGCUCAACAGGACAGUGAGACCAAGUUCGUGCCUGCCCCACUCCUCCAGCCCCAGAGUGGGAAAAGAAAAAGGUGAAAACCAGCAGGUUUUUUUCUCCCACAUGAUCUGGAAUUCUUAGUCUCCCUCGGCUUUGAACACUCACGCAUCAGGCAGGGACUGAUUCUGGCUCAGUUUGCCAUGUGCGUAUUUACUGAGCCUGUUUCCUCCUCUGUGGGGCCAGGUCCUUUCUCCGCAGCCCCCAACCCCACCUGUGAAGGCUCUGGGUCCUUGGCCUCCUAGCUGCCUCCCCCUCCAUCCAGAGCAGGCCCAGUUGUGCAGUUCAGACUGCCCUGGGCUCUCCUCUGGCCUGCACGGGGGCACAGCUCUGGGUAUUUUGUUGGUCACGGCAGAGAGCAGGGAUGGCAGCCUUUCUUGGCAGCUUGCUGUGGUCCAGGCUGGCACCUCUGCCAGUGGCACAGCCCUAGCUUGUUCCUAAAGACUCAAGAAGACAAGAGUGUGUUGUAAUCCUGAGGAAGUAGUUGUGCCUGCUGCCCCGACAGUCCCUAGCACUGUGUGGCCGUGUGGCAGUCAGGUGAGGAAUGCGAUGCUGCAACCUGAAAUGGCCAGCGGUCGAGCUUCAGGCCUGUCUGCUAGGCCUGUCCCUGAUCUCACCGGAGAUCAUCUCAGAAGGGGCAUCUUGGUUACGAGGCUGGACCGAGACGCCGUCACUGUAGAGUGGGCGUCGCGUCUCACAGCCGCCUGGGUGCAGGGAGGCUGAGCUCGUUUCGGAGUGAAGGGGACGGGCCUUGGCCUCGGCCAUGACCACCGUGCCCUCGGGUCCUCUACGUUCUAGAGCCUCCGUGAGUGCCGGGAACCUGCCCCAGCCUCUGCCCGCUUGUCCCCAGAGGCCCCUGGAAGCACCAGCACGGCCAUCCUUUACCCUGGCCCCUCAGCGCUCCAGCUGAGUCCAGCCGUUGAUGUUUUCCUGCCAUUGUGGAUUGAGAAAGGACACAGACGCUCUGUAGGAAAACCUGGUCAGGGACAAGACAGCCUUGGCCAAGAGACAGAAAACAUCACCAGGAGCAGAUGACUGAGCCCUGCUCACUUCUGUAGGUGAGGGCUUGGGAGUGAUUAUGGACUGGAGCCCUGGUGUGGCUAACAGUAGGCACCUGGGUGGCCCCAGGGAGCUGGCUUGCAUGAAGAAGCCUCAGGAGUCUUUAUGCCGGUGUGACGGCACGGAUUGUCCCAUCGUGGUGUUGUCCUCCUCACACGGGGAGGAUGGGACGCGCACCCUGAACCCAGUCACCGCCUGACCAGCAUCUCUAUGCAGAGUAGCGGCAGCCCAGAACCAAGCCUUGCAUUUUGUCAGACUUUUUUUUUAACCCUGUCCAUCAGAGGACAGUGUCCAAAGUACAUGGGCAUGUGGUUGGACAGCAUCUCCAGGAGCUAACGAUGGGAGCAGGGGCACCAGCGGAAGCAUGGUCCUGGCUCCCAGCAGCCCAUGUGCCCGCAGGGCUAGCCUGCGCCUCCACAGCCUCUCUCCAGAAUGGAAGUUCAGACCUUUGGGUGAAUUUGGGGGGUUUUCCCAGAUUUUUCUGGGUCACUCAUACUUGUCUUUCACCUAUUUCAGGAGUGGGAUGCCUUUUUUUCUGCCAAGGGCUAUUUGGAUAUUUAUCACACCAUUAGCAGGGUGUAUGAAAUUCUCAACUUAAAAAUUAGCCAGCUGUAGAUUUGUGAAAUUUUGAGUCCCUCCUGAAGUUGCCUUGGCAGGACCAGACUGGGUGAUUUGCCCUGAUCUAUCUAAACAUGGCAGAGGAAGGGGGGAAAAAGACAGAGCUGAAGGUCUGGGGGAGUGCGAGGAGGGGCUUCCCGUCCUCUUACACCUGCUGGCGCUGUUCUCUCCGCCUCGCCUCGUGAGAGCGCACCUGACACCUUAGACUGCAGACACGUGAGAUGUGCGGACGCUGGGGAUUGGUUGGCACCAUCUCGGUGGUACUGCUUACUUCCUGAACUCCAGGCGCAUUGCGAUUUGCCGUGCAGCCACUUUCCGCUGUAGUCGGGCCAGGAAGGGAGGAUGAGUUGAAUUAGAUGGCGUAUAGGUUCUGUGGACCUGCACACAAUUGUGGGCAUUGGCUGUUAGCACAACAGUUGUAGUCUCCGCUGUGUGACAUCUCCAAGCCCUUUAUCUAGGUAGAGGGAUUAGUUGAGCUGGAAUGCAGUGCAAUUCAGGUUAAAGGCUUAAGCUCCCCUGGUCUUAAGACAGCUGUGCUUCUUGAAGCUCAGCAGUAGGGCCCCUCACUUCAUCCUGCCCCUCCCAGGGAUGUCCUAUUGUGUUGCUCCUCGAAUACACCCAGGUCCCGCCUCCUGCCUCCUAGGGAGCAGACCACCUCCCUCUGGUCUUGGCCCAAGUGUGACCCUUGCAGGGGGACCGGCCCCGGCCGUUGUACCUCAGCUGGAACCCCCUCCCCCACACUUAGGCUCUGUGCUGCUCACUCCAUGGCACACCGCGUGUUUUCUGUGUUGUUUGCUGCCCGUCUCUUCCUACCAGGAUAUGAGUAGCUGGAGGCCAGCGUGUUUCAUUUUGUACAUCCUGGCUCCUAAAAGUACUCCUGGUAUACAGUAAGUGCAUAAAUACAUCUUUGGCGGAGGCUGUGCUGUGUCCAGAAGCGAGGGCUGGAUCCGGGCUCUGUCUCGGUCCCGUGCUCCUCGUAAGGAAAGUGGCCUCUCUGUGCCCCUGCAGCCUUCUUCCUCUGAGACCACAGGCAUUGCUGUGUCUUUAUUCAGGCAACGAGCCCUGGCCGUGACCUCCCAUUCAAGACAUGGACGAUUACUGUGCCCAAGAAGCUUCCAGAGCAUCCAAAUCUAGUCCUCUGCUCACUCCAGUAUUCACCUGUCGUUGGUGUAGAUAGACUUUGUGCUUCAACAGUGACAUAGUUUUCCGUCCCCGCGAGAUUCCAAGCUUCUCAGGCACAGCUGGCUGUCCUUAUCCAUGGGUUCCGUGUUGAGAAUUCAACCAACUGCAGUUCGAAAACACAGCAUAAAAUGUUGCAUCCGCACUGAGCACGUGUAGAACCUUUUUCUUGUUAUCCCUGAACGGCACAGUGUAACUGCACAGCAUAGGUGCUGCAUUAGGUAUUGUAAGUAAUCUGGAGAUGACUUACUGUGCAUGGGAGAAUGCGUGUGAGCUCUGUGCAAACACCACGCUGUUGCAUAUAAGGGACUUGAACAUCCAUGGAUCUUGGUUUCCACAGGGGGUCUUGAAACCCACCCCUUGUGGGUACUGAGGGACAACUCUGGAAUCCUGUCUUUUAUUUGUUUUUUGUUAGAGGCUCUUCCAUCAUUGGUUUGCUUCCUAAAUACACACAAAAGCAGGGGCUGGCCCAGAAUAAAACCAGGAGCCCAGAACUCCAUCCAGGUCUCCCACGUGGGUAGCAGGGACCCAACUACUUGAGCCAUCACCUGCUGCCUCCCAGGGUGUGUGUUAGCAGGAAGCUGGCCUGAAAGCAGAGCGGGGCCUCCAGCCCAGGCACUCCGACAUGGGAUGUGAGUGUGUGAGGGUCCCAAGUGGGGUCUUAACUGAUGCACCAAGUGCUUCUUGUCUUAAAGUCAUGCUUGAUAAGAGAAUAGCUGUGCCAGCUCUCUUCUGAGUAGACUUGUGGGGCCCGCACCAGUACCGCUUGUUCCACUUACUCUCUAUUCCCUUUUGUUUCCUUUUCUGUCUCUUUUUGAAUCAAUUGUGUGUUUUUAAGAAUUAUUACCCCCGUCCACUAACUUGUCCGUCAGAUAUCCCUUUACCCUUUCUUUAGUGGUCAUUAUAGUAAUUUUUUUUUGACAGGCAGAGUGGACAGUGAGAGAGAGAGACAGAGAGAAAGGUCUUCCUUUGCCGUUGGUUCACCCUCCAAUGGCCGCCGCGGCCGGCACGCUACGGCCGGCGCACCGCGCUGAUCCGAUGGCAGGAGCCAGGAGCCAGGUGCUUCUCCUGGUCUCCCAUGGGGUGCAGGGCCCAAGCACCUGGGCCAUCCUCCACUGCACUCCCUGGCCACAGCAGAGAGCUGGCCUGGAAGAGGGACAACCGGGACAGAAUCCGGCGCCCCGACCGGGACUAGAACCCGGUGUGCCGGCGCCGCUAGGCGGAGGAUUAGCCUAGUGAGCCGCGGCGCCGGCCUGGUCAUUAUAGUAAUUAUAAUACAUGUCCUUGACUUAGUAAGACCUAAUAUGAAUGCAAAGUGGGAAUGGUGUCCCGGUAGGUGCUGCUUCUGUAGCCUAUACAUUUCCUUCUUUUAUGUUUUUCUGUAGGGUCCCUGAGGCACCUUAGAGCUGUUGAUGUUCUAAAUAGUCACCACAGUGAGUUAAAAGGGUGCAGCUAAACUCUGGUAAUUCUUGGAAAUUAUUCGACUUUUUAUAAUUCUGUUAUUAAUCUCCCUAGAAAAAGAGAACAUUUGUUUUAGAAAGGAUAGUCUAUGGAGUAUUUUCAUCAUGAAGGCACAGUUGGGGUACAGCACCAAAGCACUGUCCUUGCAGCACACAGAAGGGUGCAACCACAAGGGGACCCGACACCCCGCUUGGCCCCCGUGCACCUGUGGCUCCCUGCGACCCGGGAUGGGGGUGCGUAUCACUGUGUGAUCCACGUGCCUCCCGGGCUGGGAGCCAGCCUGAGGGAGGAGCACACAGACUGUCACCAGGCGAGGGGCACCUGCACUGCGGGGGUUUGCAGAGCCCCGCCCGCCCGCUCUCUUUAGUUUGUCAGCACCCGGCCUGGUGUGAGAACGCGCUUGUAAUCUUGUCGUGUUUACCUCCCCUGGACUGCGGUCGUCUGCAUCCUCUGUCAUUUUCCUGCUGGCCGGCCCUAAUUAACGCCACCUCACCUGGCAAUUUGGCGAGGGCCUCAGUAGAUGUGUAUAUCAGCCGGCUUGUAGUCCAUGGCGGAGUGUCAUUUUCCCCUGCAGUCAGCCAUGGUGGGGAAGAGAAAACCUCGUGUACGGAGGAUGUAUUUAAGGAGGCAUUCACAAGAACAGUCAUUACCAAGUUUGAUUUUUACAUGGUACUUUUUUUUUUAGCCAUGAUAACAUCUGUCUUCUUAGCUUAGGUGGAGACAUUCAGAAAGAGACACGCUCUGCUCUUGGAAGGCGUGUUUUUCCUGCUCUCUGCUCUUGGAAGGCGUGUUUUUCCUGGUAGCUCAUUCCAGAGGAGGCAGUUUGGGUAUUCCCAGCAUCACUGAGUUCCUGAUUUCCCUCUGCAUUCAUGAUCUUCUGAGGACCAGGUCAGGGCUUUGAUGGGGGUGACUUGAAAGAGGGCGUGAGAUUUUUCUGCCCUUAGAACAUGGGAGGGAAAUGUUAAGAUCACCCAGUGGCUGCAGGAAGACAACCAGAAGGCUGGGGGUCCUGGAGGUGUCCACACCUGGUCUCCGGUCCACACUGUCCUCUGGAGUCCAGUAGGGUGCAGCAGCAAGAGGGCCAAAGAGAGGUGAGGGCAGGCAUCCUGGCAGUGAUGGAGAAGGCCCUUGAGUCUACGGCCAUACCACCCAGCGUGCACCUGCUGUUGCCUAUCACGGAAGUGAAGUGGGGUCGGGCCUGAUAGCACUUGGAUGGGAGAAGCCACUUGAGGGAUGCCUACGUCCUGAACCACAGUCCUUAGGUUCUAGUCCCAGCUCUGCCCUCCAGUCCAGCUUCCUGCUAAUACACACCCUUGGGGGUGGCCGGUGAUGCCUCACGGACCCAGGUCCCUGCCGCCCACACAGCAGACCAGGUAGAGUUCCACGCUCCUGGCAUUGGCCUGCCCCAGCCUGGGCUGCUGCGGGCAUCUGGGGAGUGACCUAGCAAAUGGGAGAUCCAUCUCCCUGUCUGUCUGUCUGCCUUUCAAAUAAAGAAAAGGAAGAAAUUUUUUGAAAAUUAGGAAAGAGCGAGAAGUUGUCCUGAGGUAGUGGGUAAUUGGUAAUAAGUGUGUGUGUGUGUGUGUGUGUGUGUGUGUGAGAGAGAGAGAGAGAGAGAGAGAGAGAGAGAGAGAGAGAGAGAGAUGGGAAGGCAUAGUUUGUCUUUUCAGUGAUAAGCCUCAGGUCUCUGUGACAGCCACUGUGGUCAUGGGGUCUAUGGAAAUUGCGGUUUAUUUUGUCCCCCUGGAGAGAUUAAAGCCAGACACUGCUGGUGGCUGUGUCUGUCUGCUCCCACUGCCGAAACAGAAGACCACAGUCCCCGAGGCUGGAAGGCCAGGGGCAGGGGUCAGCAGGCUUGGUCUCUCCUGAGCCCUUCCCCGUGGCUGGCGGCUGGCGGUUUCUCCCCGUGCCCUCACGGAGUGGUCCCUCCGGGUGUGCACGUGUCCAGUGUCCCUUUGUGGGCCAGCUUUCCUCGGAGCCAGCAGUCAGCUUGGGUCAGUGCCCACCCUACUGACCUCAUUUUCACUUGAUUGCCUCUUUCAAGGCCCUAACGCCAAAUAUAGCCACAUUUGAUGGCUCUGGCAGCCGGGGCUUUGGCAGGUGAAUUCGGAAGGGGCCAAGAGGUCACAAACGCAGUGCACCCUGCAACAGCAUCAGAGGAAUCAGCCCUUGGGAGGCCCAGGGAGGGCGUCUGCAGGAAUCCUGAGGAAGCGCUCUUGUUCCCAAACCAAGAGCAGGUGGCUGUCUCGCUGAUGUUCCCAGGUGGUGCCAGCCACUCUGCAUGCGGCCCCGCCCCCCGCCCCACUCCAGCCCGGCUGUGAAGUCCUGGGCGUGUCUCCACAACAUGUGCCAGGUUUGCCUACUUGUCAGUCUCACUUGUCUCGCCCCGGCCAGCGCCCCUCACCGCCUGGACCCAGCCUUGCAAGUCGCCUGCUGAUUCUCAGGCCCCACGGCUGUCCUGGGGCUCGGACACUGGCAGAGCAGCCGGUGGGCUUUCCGAAACGUAUCCGGGUCUCUGGCUCGGGACUCCCUAGCACGCCGAGUGCAAGCGCAGAUGCCCGCCCAGGCAGUGAAGUUGUCCGAGCUGGGCGGCCUGCCUCUGCAGACCCACCUCCUCCAUUCUGCCUGGGUCGCGGCAGGGACCACCCUGGCCUCUGGCUGUCACUCCAGUGUGCCGAGCGUGGGCGCGUCGCAGGGCCUGGAGACCUGGAAUGUCCUUGCCCCAGACACACAUGGCUUACUCCCUGUGGCCUCCCUGGGGUUCUGUGGUUGGCUCAGAAAGGACACACACAGAGCACUGCCCCUGCAGCCCUGCCCUCUGUCCCCUCAGUGCCUCCGCAGCGCUGACCCUUGCUGACAUCUGAGUACACAGCUGCUUCCCGUCUGCUGGAAUCUUGGCUGGGAGGAGGCAGUCACCUUGCUGACCGCUCACCGCUGAGUCCCCAGCACCAGGAACCGCGCCUGCCCCCUGACCAUGCGCUCAGUGGACGAGUGACUUCCCGUGGCCCAGGCAAGUCCCUGAGGUCUGCGGUGACUUUGCUCACAUGCAUAGACCCCCUCCUCUGGUCCAGAGCAGUCCUGGGGAGGAGUCUGCGUUGCCCCUCACCUUGGACCCGGAAGACACCUUGCCCAGGGUAAAGAGCGGAGAGGCUCCCUGCAAGGGGUGCACAGUCUGGGCUGGAAAGGGGAUGCCCUCUUGGCAUCCUGCUAGCAAGUUCAGAGCUGGGGCUCUCAGGCAGGCUGGCCCCUGCUUUUGCAACCUAAGGGCUUUGCGAGAGUGCAGCUGAGCCGGGAGGCACCCCGUCACCUGCCUCUCGGCCCACCCCAGGCCACCACUCCCCGUACUGAGGCUGCCUGUAAGCCGUAGAGGCUUCUCCUUCUUAGUGAUUUGCUUCCUUGUGUGUGUUGGCCUCGACCUCUCAGAUGGCAGCCGUUUUGCUUUUGCAUUUGACUGCAAUUUAGCAGAGGCAGAAGGAGAGUUGGAGGUAGUACGUUGGAAUUUCCUCCUCUCCCCUCUCCUCCUCCUCCCCCUGUUCCUCCUCCUGCCCUCCCCACGUCUUUCUCUCACUCCUAUUCUUUGAUUUGAGGAAUCCUUCCAAGUACAAGGGAAGACUUUCUAGAUGAAAUGGUCUUGAGGAGUAACAGCCGUUCAUUGUUUGGGACCCUGAUUUGGCCAGGACACUGGGACAGGUGACCCUCCCAGCAGGUCCUGGGUCACCAGCUGCCUCUGGGGCUGUAGCACGUCCCACCUGGAACCCGUGGGAUGGGACUGGCUGAUGGCCAGUCAAGUGAGCCAUAGCGGUACGUUAGCAUGAGCCCCGAUCUCAUUUCUAAAACAAAAACAGCCGUUAGGGAGGUGCACGCGCCCUGGCCUAGAAGGUGGUCUCAGGUGCUCCUUCCCACACAGACUGAGGUGCUCUAGAGCAUCCCUGGUCCCUGUCUGGAAGGUUCUCGAUCUCAUUGCUCAGCGCUUGGGUUCUUUUCUGGCUGUUCUCCCAGCGCCUGUCUAAAGGACACUUUUGAAGUUUUUCCCCAAAACUCUCCUCCUCCUCCCCCUCCCCACUCCCCCUGCUCCCCCUGCUCCCCCUGCUCCCCCUCCUCCCCGCUUCCCAGUCCCUGUUCACAAGCCUCCCCCGCAUGGCUUGCCUCCCUGCGUUUCCUCCUGACUUCCAGCGUGUGCGUAUGCAAGGUGCAUGGAACGUAGCCCCAGUGGUAAGCAGUGUGCAGGUCACCAGGAGUCAGACUCGAAGGACCUGGUGGUUGGCUCCCUGGUGCUGAACAGACACCCUCACCCACAGAGGGAGGUGAAGACUACACACCUCUAAGGGUCACGGUGUGUGGGCACCAAGGCGAGGAGCCGGCCUGGGCACGCUUGUGGAAGUCCCCAGACACAGUUCUCCUAAGAAGCCAGUCCCGGGCUUGUCUUUGCAAGCUGCCGCAGGCUACAGCAGCCUGGAGGCCGCAGGACGUGCUGCAGUCCAGUGAGCCGCCGUGAUAUUUCAGCACGCGCCCCGCUCUCAUUAUUCCUCGGUCAUCCAGCCCGAGCGGGGAGGGAUUCAGAGUUUCCAGCGCCGCCCGCGCCAGCCGGUUUCCGUAUCAGCAGGCCUCAGGAAGGUGGAAGGACACCCUGUCAUUCUUUCCAUCGCUCUGACCCUGCUUGCUGUCAGGCCCGAGUGCCAGCAGGUUUAGCUAAAGGAAGUUGCAACUGCUGACCGGUGGUGUGGACUGCCUCCGCCCCCAGCGCCGGCCGGGGCAGAUAAGAUAGAUAGCUCUUGAUGCUGACAAGCUGGACUCGCCUUAGGUCUGGAAGCAAAACACGUGCUCCUCCCCCGUGCUCCUUUUGGGAACACUUGGUCUGGGAACCCUUUCCCUUCGAGCGUUUGAGUUCAUCUUGGUGCAGGCACGUGGGGGUCCAAUGGUGGUGCAGGUGACGCUCGUCCCCUGUGCCCUGACCCCCCAGUGUCAGCGGGAGCAUACCCCAUGUGAGUUCUCCCAGCAUGCCGUGGUGAUUUCCAUCAGCAGAGCAGAAGAAAAGAGACAAGGGGGAACCCUGCUGCCCUGGUCCCAGUUGCAAACCCCUGGCCCAGAUGGAAUUAGAGGCUGUGGCCCUGGGCCAGCCCUCUUCUAGGUGCGGGGGCGUGGGGUGUCUGUUUCGGUUUUAGCAGACUGAUUCAAGGAGUAGGCGAUGGGUCUAUUUUAGGUCCCCUGACCAAUUUGUCUUGUUCUGUUUUCUUUGAGGCAGGAGAGUUACUGGUCAGCAAGCAUAAACGGUGUCUGCAUGGGUUUUGGGGCACACUCACUGAAUUGGUUGUGGACAUUUGUUAAAGCUUUGCAUUGAGUUGUACGUUGUAAGAGCUGGAAGCAACUUCAGUCAUCAUUCAAGCCAGUGGUUCCCAACUCUGGCUGUUCAUCAGAAUCUUCAUUAAAGGUCCCGUGCACUUGUCCUGCCCCGGGCUCAGGGUCAAACAUCUGCACACUGUACCUUUAGCACUGCAUUUGUGACAAACUCCCCAGGAACCUAAGCAGCCGGCCUGCAAGUCUGGGACCCACUGGAAUCACCGGGUAGAGCCCCUUCCUUUUGUGCCGGCUGGGUUUGUGUGUCUGCUCCUUGGGUUUGGUGUUGUCCAGGGGAGGAACCAGGAGCCCAAAGGCUGAAUGACCUGGCCGGGGUCACCCAGCUGGGGAUCACGCAUCAGUGAGAACCUAAUGGGAUGGUGAGCCUAGGAGGGGACCUAAGGCUAAGGCACUGCACUCAGCGCCACCCAGUGCCGUGCCAGGAGGAGGCCUCAGAGGACUCAUGGGAUUGGGGAGAUUCCUCCCGCAAGCCUUCGGACGACUUCUUUGGGGGCAUCCACAGAAGCCUUCCCUUCUCUCUGGAGCCACCGAGCCCAGAGCGGACAUCUGGCCUUGGCCCAGCAUGAGAACCGGCUGUCUACUCUGAUCUGCUGCCCGUGACCCCUGCCUGCCUGGGGUCCUGCUCGCAGGCGACCAGGUUCAGGGUGGCGUCUCAGCCGCCUAGGGGGUCCAAAUACUUACUUGUGGUCAGACAGCCUUUCUUGGUGUCCUCCUGAGACAAUUCUGAUGUUUCCUCCAUCGCUGCCCUUCCUGAAGGUUCUCAGUCUCAAAUGCUCACCUGAUUCUAGGUCAGCAGGGUGGGGGUUCAGUUUCCAGAUGGCACCUCUCCACGUAGGCCUCUGUAUGCAGGCCUCAUUUGCUUGCCCAAGCUGCACGUGUUUGGUGGGGAGGACAGAGAUGCGAGGGCCAGGGAGCAGAUGAAAUAUCCCAUCUCCCUGCCACGCAUCUUGCUCCUCCACGCUUGGGAAUGACCGCUCCCUGUUGGCGGUCCCUGGACCUCCUUAUCCUUGUCCUGUGGGUUCGCCAACACAUCCUCACCUUUCUGGGGAGCUCCACAUUCGGCUGUCCGUCCUUCUCACGGACCCCCUCCCCCCAACCAGGCCUUCAAGCUGUGAGUCCAGAACCAAGCAGUUGUCUGUGUCCCUGAACGUCCUCUGUGUCCUCUCCCAGUCGCUGAGCACUUCAUGCCAGAAACUGGAGAGACGGCAUGGGCACCUCCUCUCACCCCCUCGUUUCAGCCCAGACGUCUGUGGAAUUUGCAUCUGAAGGUUUCCGAUCUGUUUCCACUUUCCUGCCUCUGUUCCAUCUCCUGUCGCGCCGUCUGACUCUGGCACCCUCCAGGGGCCCCUCUGGGCUGCCACCCGAGUGACCAUUUUAGAAAUCUGGGUAUUCAUCUCACGACCCUGCUUUUCAAGACUCCCCGGCGCAUGUCCAUUGUCAAAGGUCAAACUGCCUACUCUGUACUUAAGGCCUUUCCCGUGGCCCCCGCUGGUGUCUCUGUCCCACCUCCUCAGUACAGGUAUGACGCAAACUCUCAGCUACCUCUCCUUUUGGAACGGCCAGCCGCUAGCCCGGUGGCUUCCCAUGCCGAAUGCUAUUAACGCGUGUGUGAUGAGCGAGUGAGUGAGUUAGCAAGUGGCUUCAGAAACCAAGCCGUACAGCUGACCUGAAGGAGAGAGCCUUGUCCGCCAGGUCCCUCUGGGUCUUCUGCCCGCUCUUUGGGCUGCCUGAGCCCUUCAUGGAUUCCCUGGAAACUCCACCCUGCUGAACCUUGGAAACAUUCACGUCUGUUUACCAAAACGGGCAGGCUUCUUCCCGCCUGUGCCUUGUUCCCAACCCGUUCCUUCCAAAAGACACCGACGUGUCUUGGUUUGGAUUUUAACAAAGUUCUCGUUUGUCCCAAGAGCACACGAGAUGAUCUCAGAUGGAUUUAAAAGGAAAGGAACGCACCACUGAGCCUGAGAGCAGCCUCCAGCAGGUGGGCUUGUGUCCGAGCCGGGAGGUGUCCCAGGGGCCCUUCAUGCCCUGUCGCAGCUUCUCCAGAAGCCAUCAGAGCCGUGACCUUGGAGGGGCCCCAACUCUUAACUCUCCCAGCUCAGGGGGAAGGCGCUGCCCCCAGCGUGGGGUGGUUCAGCUGUGAGCCCGCGGGGCCCCGGCAGGAAGUUGUCGCACGUGCCUGGCAAGGACACCGCAAAACCCUGGCGUGGUGUUGGGAAGCAGAAGGAAGACCUGGAAGGACAGUUAUGGAGUGUUAUCACGGGAGGUACCUGAGCCGCCACCCCAGGGAGCACGCGUGGUCGAGCUCCAGGACCGAAUCCCCGUCUUCCCACGCUCUCCUACCUGUGCUGUUUCCUCUCCGGCCACACAUUCGGGGUGUCUGGAGACUGCCACAGGAGCCUGGCUCCGUGCGGGUUCACUCAGAGCAACUGGCAGUUAAUGAUCCCGUCGGUGUGACGGAAAGAACCCGAAGCGUGGUGUGGCCCCAGCCUGGGUCGGCUGCCCCAGUUCUCUGAGCUUGUUUGCUCAUGGUUAACCUAACGCCCGGCCCGAGGUGUCCUGAGGAGUGCGUGCAAGGCUGCUUGUCACCUGCAGGGUCACCACUUCACCACCGCUGACUCGGCCGAUCCCAGGGAUCAGAUAGAGGAUUUUUCCGUGUGUCUUUCCGAUGAGUGGAAUUGUGCUCAGGAAGUCCCAGUCACCACUCUUUCCAUGGUAAAGGCCUUCAAAAGGCACGUUUAUUCUCCUCGUUCUCCCUCUCCCACUCCCGGGCCUGCAGUCUUGGGCUCUAGGUGUGAAUGUCUUCCGGGUGGGCUCACCUUGAGAGCAAGACCUGCUCGGCCAAAGCAUGUGGCCUGUGGGAGACGCUCUCGAAACGCAGGAGGCCAGAGGGCUGCAAGACGUGAUGGAGGACCGGGGCACGGGGGACACUGCUACCGGCACGGGAGCCAGGGGGAGCAGCUGCAGAUGGGAAGGAGGAGAGGAAGGCGUGGCUGCUCUCCUGUGGUUUGCCCACGGCGUGGCUGCUCUCCUGUGGUUUGCCCACGGCGUGGCCGCUCUCCUGUGGUUUGCCUACGGCGUGGCUGCUCUCCUGUGGAGCUCCACUUUGCCCACUGAGGGGCAGGCCGGGCCUCUCGGGGCUGUAGUAGUCUGGUCGUCAUCACCGUAGUGGCAUACCCGAGACAGGCUACUUUAUCCACAGGAGUUUAUUUGGUGUCGUGGUUCAGGAGGUACAAAGUCUGGGGCCUUAUCUGGUGCCGGCCUCCUCGCAGGCAGAGUCCUGAGGGGCGCAGAGCAACACACGGCAGAGACACGAACACACAUGUGCACAUCCGUGUCUCUCACAUGUGCACGUCCGUGUCUCUCUUGGUUGGUCUCUCUGCUUCUCCCUCUCCCCGCUGCUCUGCUCCCCUCCCCCGCCCUUCUCAUAAAGUCAUGGGGCUCCCACCCAAAGACCUCACCUUUAGACACCAUAGCUAGGUUAGGUUUCCAUCCUGUUCCUGCUUCACAGAGAGGAUUAAACUCCCACCCACAAAGGCUCGGGAGACACUCAACCCCUGUCCAAACCACAGCAGAGACCGCCCGGCGCUCGUGGCAGUGAGGCCCCGGGCAGCUGCGGCAGAGCAAGGCUCGCUGUGGCCACGCUCUCGGAAGCCCCUGGGCCAGCCGUGGGGAGAGGGAGCCUAGGACCUGUUUGAAGGCGCAGUUGAUGUGAGUGGACCGAUGUCAGCAGGCGACCUCGGGGCUGGGCAGCGUGAGCUUCUACCUUGCUUCUCGAUUUCUUCUAGCCUGGCCCGUCCCACCUCUGCCAGCCACACUUUUACCCCCACACGGUUAACACUUCCACCCGUGCUGUAACCACUGUCCUUGUUGUAUUGUAAUUUGACUCUAAAACCCGAAGGUCAGUGAGUAGGGUUGAAAGUCAGUGAGUAGAGUGUACGUUCUCGGAGCCGUCAAAGCAGUCCCCGAGGCUGGGCUGAGCACCAGGUGAGGCUCGGGUUCCUUCUGAGCCGGCCCAGCGCCCGCCCAGCAGGGGCUGCAAGCAGGCAUCUCUGGCAUCAGCCGUGAACAGGUGCUCCUUGCGCAGCUGCUGGAAACCGCGGCGUGCCCUGCUUUACCUCGUAGCGGGAUCUAGCGUUCUCAGCACGUUCACUCAUUUACUUUUUUUUGUUUGUUUGUUUGUUUUUGACAGGCAGAGUGGACAGUGAGAGAGAGAGACAGAGAGAAAGGUCUUCCUUUUGCUGUUGGUUCACCCUCCAAUGGCCGCUGCGGCCGGCGCACUGCGCUGAUCCGAAGGCAGGAGCCAGGUGCUUCUCCUGGUCUCCCAUGGGGUGCAGGGCCCAAGCACUUGGGCCAUCCUCCACUGCACUCCUGGGCCACAGCAGAGAGCUGGCCUGGAAGAGGGGCAACCGGGACAGAAUCCGGCGACCCGACCGGGACUAGAACCCGAUGUGCUGGCGCCGCAAGGCGGAGGAUUAGCCUAGUGAGCCGCGGCGCCGGCCUCACUCAUUUACUUAUUUCGCUUGGAGUCUCUACUGUCUGUCUUUACACAUGCCCUGUGCUUUAUUCCGUGACAUUCCCGUUCGGGACUGCACCGUGGGGUGACGUGGAGGAAUGGGUUCAGACACGGCCUCUGGUGCUGGCAUCCCACAGGGGCACUGGUUCAAAGCGCUUUCUCUCAAGAGAGAGAAUCUCCCAUCCACUGGUUCACUCCCCGUUCGCAGGAAGCAGAGUAGCCAGGACUGAAACCAAGCACUCCCGAUAACGGGAUGUGGGCGUCCCAAGUGGCAGCGUCAGCCACGGAGCCACAGCAUCCACCUCUCGAAGAUACCGAAAGAUGUGUGAGCGCACCCUCACGUGGAACUCGCCAGUGAGCGCCAGAACUUCAUUAGGGAAAACUCUUGUCCAGCCCCCAGCCUGGCUGCUGCAAGGGCAGGUGUCAGUCUGACUCGCGCCCCCGGCCACAUCCGUGGUGUUCUGAGCCGUGCAGUGGCCAUGUCGGGCUGUGGUCUCUGUUCGUGGUGCUCUGCUCUUCCACGUGGAGACUCAUCACCUUAGACAAGACGGGUUUUAUUUAUUUACUUUUGUCCUUUUGGCCGUCCUUAAGUUCGUCCCUUGUGUAUAUUUAUGUUCUUUCUGGGCUUCCUGGAUUGCUAUUCCAUAUCUCUUAUAAUUUCUGCCUUACGUGUUUCUGUGACAUAGGUAGUUUUGACGAUUUGCUGUGAAUUCAGAAAGCAAUGUGUACUGUGACAGCCGUAACAGAAAUUAUAGGUAGGGGUAAUUACACGAUGAAGUAAGGCCUGGGUGCGGCAGGAGGAAGCCGGACUGAGAGAACUGAAGAAGGCUUUGUCUUUGGGGAGGAGGAGGAGCCCUUCUCCUGGGCACAAUAGAGAAGGAGCCGGAAGGAGCCGGAAGGAGUUGGGAUGCAGCACAAAGGGAAGGGAACAUAAGUCACACACAAGCCUUACGAGGUAGAAGGUGAGGUCGCUGACUUAGACGGAAACCUUGGGGUUAGACAAAGACAGGAGACCUCUGUGGAGGGAGCCCGGAGCCGAGAUGACCGCCUGAAGGUUUACAGGGUGUGUCUGAGCUGGGACCAGUGGGCCUGCAUCAGGGGCUGUGGUCAAGCGCAGGCCUGACAUGUGGCCAAGCACGCAUGACUGUUGCCAUCUCGGGUGGCCGAUGCGACAGCCCAGCUCAGCAAUCUUGACUUUAUCCACAGAGAAAAAGAAGACACUGGAACCUUUUGUCCCACUUGAGGGUCCUUGCUGAAAAAUCUGCCCAUGUCAUCAAGCCAGUUUUCUAGACGCACCUUUGGAUCCCUGCUGUAAAACCCAGCCUUGCCCCAGAGUGCGCUCUCGUGUCGCACGCACAGGUUGCAGCUGACGUGUGCUUGGGUCUGGGAGCAGAGUCCGGGCAGGCCCCGGGCAGCCGCCUCCUCAAGUGCAGGAGGUUGGUGCUGAGACACGAGAUCUCUGCAAGCUGUUCGUUUGGAAAAAUGGCUUCAUCUUUGCUUCUUCUUGUUCUGAAUGAAUUAUCUUUCGAAAGUGAAUUCUGUCGCUGACCCCGACACACGGGCAGAGCCGAGUUGGAGCUUCCGCGUGGUGAGGCAGAGGUCAGCCCUGCAGCCCACUUGGCUCCCGUGCCAUCUUCCCUGGCCCCUAGGAUUUCCCCUGAUUUUAUUGUUCACAAAACCGGGCAAGACGGAGGGCAUGGAGGGGCAGAGCUGCAGCCGGCCUCCCAGUUCCCUUCACUGUGAUCUCUCUCCCGGCCAGGAAGUGGCGAGUCCUGGACCCAGCAGGCGUGCGGCUGAACCCAGACCUCUGAUGUCCUGGCUCUUCCCUGCGAUGCACAGAGCCAGCCGAGGGCGUGUUUCAUCUGAGGCCUUUUUCCUUUGGGUUCUUAGAGCAUCUCUCAGCCCUCCAAGAGCUCCCCGCUGGUGUUGUAGUCCCACAGUGCAGCACAUCCUGCAGAUAAAAGUACAGGUGAAUUCUGCAGAUUUUCCAGCCUGCUGUGCUAAAUGCCUUUAAGUGCCCCAGGGCAGCCGGAUACAAUGGGCAGUUUCUACAUCUGUAGAUGCAGCCAACUAUGGGUUGAAUAUUUUAAAGAUUUAUUUAUUUAUUUGAGAGUCAGAGUCACAGAGGAGAGAGAGAGAGAGGGAGAGAGAGAUGUCUUCCAUCUGCUUGUCACUCCCUAAGUGGUCACAACAGCCGGAGCUGAGUCAGACUGAAGCCAGCAGCCAGCAGCCAGCAGCCUCAUCUGAAUCUCCCGUGUGGGUGGCUGGGGCCCAAGCACCUAGGCCAUCUCUGCUGCUUUUCCCAAGCCACCAUCAGGGAGCUGGAUUGGAAGUAGAGCAGCCAAGACACAAACCAGUGCCCUUACCAUUGUUGCAGGCGGCAGCUUUACCCACUAUGCCACAGUGCCAGCCCCAUGGAUUGAAGAUAUUAAAGGGGCUGGCACUGUGAUGUAGCAGGUAAAGCCGCCACCUGCAGUGCCGGCGUCCCAUGUUGGCACCCGUUCAAAUCCUGCCUGCUCCACUUCUGAUCCUGCUUUCUUCUAUGGCCUGGGAAAGCAGUGGAGGAUGACCCAAGUCCUCGGGCUCCUGCACCCUUGUGGGAGACCCAGAAGAAGCUCCUGGCUCCUGGCUUCAGCUUGGCACAGCUGUGGCUGUUGCGGCCAACUGGGGAGUGAACCAGCGGAUGGAAGACCUCUCUCUCUCUCUCUCUCUCUCUCUCUGCCUCUCCUGUCUCUGUGUAACUCUGACUUUCAAGUAAAUAAAUAAAUCUUAAUUUAAAAAAAUUAAUAUUAAAAAAUUUCCCACUGUGUAUAAACUUAUUGUCCUUAUCCCCUAAGCAGUUCAAUAGAACAACUGUUUAUGUGGCAUUUACUUGGCCUUUGUGUUGAUUAGAUAUUAUAAGCAAUGUGGAAAUUCUGUGAAGUUUGGAGGGGGAUACCAGCAGGUUCUGUGCUGUGGAAGGGGCCUGAGCAUCCAUGGAUUUGGGCAUCCUAGGGGGUUCCUGGAACCAGUCCCCUGUGGACAUCCAUGCUUCUGUGGUGAUGAACAGACUGUCUUUGUAACACGAUGAUCGCUCUCUGCCUUUUCUCAGUCACCAAUUAAUCACUUUAGUGAUGAUUAACUCAGGCCCUUGACAGGCAUGUGAGUAAAGUCAGUUUGUUUUUAAUUUGCCAAAUUGGAUGAAUUGUCUUAGUGAUUCAUUUUAAAGUCACUAUCUGCAUUCUCUGUGUAGUUCUAAUUGAAAGAGGAUUGAUCAGCGCAAUUAGGAAAACGUGAUUUCUUUCAUUAAAAGAACAUUUGCGUUUUAAAAUAGCACCUGUUUUUGAGAGAGGGCUGUAACUUAAUUUCUAGGGAAUGUGUGUAAUGGAUUUUUAAGUGUUGAUCCUACCCCCCCCCCCCAGGAUAAUCUAGCAACUGUGUCAGAAAAGCACGGAACGUUCUGGCACUUCGCAUGUGCUGCGCGCAGCCACCAAGCAACUUCCCUCCGAGCCAGAGGUCGUUUUUGCUCGUCUUCGUCAUCACUGACUUUUGUGAGUGUGUUAAAGUUUGCAGCUUGCUUGAGUGUGCGACUGGGGAAAGGAUUCUGUUAAAGAUAUUUCAUACAAAGUCAUCUUUCCGGCACUGGGCAGAGACUGGGUUGCAGCUCUUCUCCUCACACUGUCCUGGAAGCAAGUUCACCAAGUGCAGCAGGAGAAAACUGGAUUUGGGUUCUUGCCGUGUGCUCUUUCUGUUUCACGGUAGUGUUACUGGGCUCACCAUAAACUCGGUGUGCUGUUUUGGUUUCAAGUGUUCAAAGAGAGACUGGCAGCGUGGUGCAUUGGAUGCCUGCAACACCAGCACCCCGUAUAGGAGCUGGUUCACAUCCUGGCUGUUCCACUUCCUAUCCAGCUCCCAGCUAGUGUGCCUGGGAAAGCAGCAGAAGAUGAUGCAAGCGCUUGGGCCCCUGCCACCCACGUGGGAGACCUGGAUGGAGUUCCAGUCUCCUGGCAUCAGCCUAGCCCAGCAUGGCUGCUGUGGCAUUUGGGGAGUGGACCAGCUGAUGAAGGUUUCUCUUCUCUCUCUCUCUUCUCUCUUCUCUCUCUCUCUCUCUUAACUCUGCCUUUCAAAUAAAUAACUAAUUAUUUUUAAAAAUUAUUCAAAACAAAAUGCACCAUCUUGAAAAGACAGAGAUGUCUCAUCAGGAUGUAUGCUGGUGGUGAAGGCGACGUCACAGGUCCCCUCCAGCUUGGAGCAGAUGCACAGCGCACUCUGUUUUAAUGGCGUCUGCUCAUGGAAGACAUCAGUGCUUUACAGUCCUAACUCACACUGCCUGGAUCUUGUCGCUUACAUCUGGUUCUUAGGAUGCUUUCUUCAUGCAGACUUUGUGCAUCGUGGGUCCUUAAAGUUAUGGAUGCAGAAGCCAGUCACGUGGUCCUCUGGAGUACUGUUGUGCAAAACAAGCUUUCUUUUUUGUUGUUUCUUCUUAGUUGUUAAUUCUCUCUUAUUUUCUCCAGGUCGCAUUUUACUUAUAACAAGUAUUUUAAACUCUGCACUUUUAGGAAGAGAAGGGUCUUUUAUUACUGUCUAACGUCUUGUAGAUUGACUGGUUUUAAAAUUUCUACAGGCAACCCACAGACUUGAAAGCUCGCCCAGCAGGCACGGGCAUAGGCCCCCUGCUUCCCAACUUCUGUCCCUUGACAUUCAUCUGGGGUGGGCAAUGCUACAGGCUUGUCGGAGAGGUAGCAGAACAUGCUCCCCCCAACCAUCAUCUUCAUCACCCCGACUCCUCCAGCCUCCCUGCCUCCACCAACCCUCAUCUGAGACCCUCAGAGUGGGUCUUGCACUGAGUCUCCUGUUCUUGGCAUUCAAGGCCUGGCUCCAGAAGGGAAUUCACUGAUGACCCCGGGCGAGAUCCCUAACCUCCUCAAGAUGAUUUGUUCAUCUGUGGAACAGAAAUGUCGCUGACCCCGUAACCAAGAUGAGAAAAUCAAGGAGACAACAUCUGUGGGUCCUUAAAGAAAUAAAAAAAAAGUUCAUGGAGAGAUGGAAUUACAGCCGGUGCCGCAGCUCACUAGGCUAAUCCUGCGCCUUGUGGCGCCGGCACACCAGGUUCUAGUCCCGGUCGGGGCGCCGGAUUCUGUCCCGGUUGCCCCUCUUCCAGGCCAGCUCUCUGCUGUAGCCAGGGAGUGCAGUGGAGGAUGGCCCAAGUGCUUGGGCCCUGCACCCCAUGGGAGACCAGGAGAAGCACCUGGCUCCUGCCAUUGGAUAGGCGCCGUGGGCUGGCCGCAGCAGCCAUUGGAGGGUGAACCAACGGCAAUGGAAGACCUUUCUCUCUGUCUCUCUCUCACUGUCCACUCUGCCUGUCAAAAAAAAAAAAAAAAAAGGAAUUAAAAAGAUAAGUUUAUUUUAGUCCAAAAAAAAAAAAAAACUUUAGAAUCCACACAUAGGUUUGUCAUGGUGUACAUUUACCAUUAACAUUUUGAAGGCCCCCUUGUAUGUGUGGAUUUCGAGAUGUUUUGCACCAAAAUGUACUUAUCUUCUUUAUUCCGUGGGUUGGCACCUAGCACAGCUGCUGGCCCCCCGAGUGAGCAGCUUUCCCCGGCUCUCCUUGCCCCACCCCCACACCCCCACCCUAGAAGCUCCGUCCAAGGGGUUUUCCCCGCUGAGACUCCAAGCAGGGCUCGGGGCCAGGACCCGGCUUCCCAAGGUUCUUUCCCCUGGGGUCUAAUCUAGGCUACAGUAAUGGGAAGAGUCCACAGGAUAAAGGUGACGUUGGUUUGUCAGUGUUUGUGUGAUAGUAUUUUUAAAUAACUAAAAGGAAAUAGGCUGUUUGUUUGAGGCCUGGUCUCUGGAUUUAUGAUCCCAGCCGGUGUCAAGAUGCUUGUCUUCAGAGUCCGUUCACUGUGGACGUCAGGAAAGGGGUGCUCAGGGCGUCGCCGCCGCCUCUCGCCAGCAGACCCGGCUCUCCAGACUCCAGCUCACCACUUCACUUCACUGCCAAGUCGGCAAAUUGAGGGCCCCAAGUCCAUUGCAAAGAUAAAGCGCAUCUGAGUUCAAGCUCUAAGAGCUCAUCUAAUUAUGAAGCAAAGACCGGAUGGACUUGGGGGUGUGGGGGAGGGAUUGCACAGAGUGCCUGUGGUUCACCUUUGUGCCAUGAACACAGAAAAGUGUGGACCCCAAGGGCUGAAUUCUGAUUGUGGGGCUGCUAGGCGUGAGCCCAGGCAGCAGCAGACUCCUGAGCUGCCAACGCAGUGCACGUGUGCAACUUACGGGAUGCGGUGCGCUGCAGCUCAGGGCCUGUGCGGGAGACUCGUGCAUUGCCUCCCAGGUCUGCCAACAGCCGCGAUUCUCGGAGAUGAGCCUGCUCUGUGCAUUCAUCCGUCACGUGGGAUUUGGGCCUGAGUAUAUGAGAGACAGGAAACCAGCUCUGUCACUCGGAUUACCUCCACAUGGGAGAUGUGGAAUACAUAAAUGGCAAAGCGAGACAGGUGCAGCCGAGUUGCAGCACCCAGCCAGCGUGUCCUGGAGCAGCAGCUCCGUCUUGGGGGGAAGGAUGGGGUUGGAGGCCCCAGCAGCUGCUCUCUGAGGGCCCUCAGCCCGAGCCCAGCAGGCCCGUAGUGUCUUCCACCUGUGCUUUCCAACCACCCACCAGGAAGACCUGUGUUCUGUUUCGGUUCCGCUCAUGCCAGCCUAUAAACAUACUGUAGUAAAAAAGAACUGCUGCGGCACAGUGGGUUAAAGCCCUGGCCUACAAUGCAGGCCAUCUCACAUUGGUGUUGGUUCGAGUCCCAGCUGCUCCACCUCCAAUCCAGCUCCCUGCUAAUAAUGCACCUGGGAAAACAGCAGAGGAUGGACAAGUGCUUGGGCCCCUGCACCCACAGGGGAGACCCAGAAGAAGCUCUGGCUCCUGGCUUCUGGCUCCUGGCUUCAGAUUGGCUCAACUCUGGCUAUCGAGGCCAUUUGGGGGAGUGAACCAGUGGAUGGAAGAUCUCUUUCUCUGUCUCUCUGUAACUCUCUUUCAAAUAAAAAAAAAUAAAUCUUAAAAAAUCAUGAACUUUUCGAAAGAAACAGAACAAAAAGACAUGCCACAAAAGUCCAUAAAUCCCAACAGACACUUCCUGAUGGAGUGCUGUGAGAGCUUCUGGAAGCUUCCUGUAGCUUCUGUUCUUGCCUCGUGGCAGACUGCCCCCCCCCCCCCGCCACGUCCACAGACCACACUUAAGGCAGUUAUCCUAAAUAACAGAGGUUAAGCUUGGGAUUUUUUUUUUUUAAAUGUAUUUAUUAGAAAGGCAGGGUGAUAAACAGAGUGAGAUCAUGGUGUUCCACCCACUGGUUCACUCCCCCAUCACCAGCUGGUACUGGGCCAGGCUGAAGCCAGGAGCCAGGAAUUCCACUCUGGUCUCUCACAUCCUGGUGGCAGGGGCCCAAGUACUGAACCAUCAUCCCCUGCCUCCCAGGUGCAUUGGCAGGGAACUGGAUCAGAAGAGGAGGAAGUGGGACCUGAACCAGGCACUCUGAUACAGGAGGUGGGCAUCCCAAACAGUAGGCCAACACGCUGUGCUACAACACCCACCCCUCGGGGGUUUAAAAUAUAGGUAUGUGUGUGUCUUAUUAGGAGGCUUCUUUCCAUAAAAAAUCAAGCAUUAUACUCGGUUUGCAUUAUCCCGAAUUUCCUUUAAAUCUCUUCCGCUGCCCAAGCCCUCCUUUUUCAUGGCUGAAGCUCUGAACUGUGAUGGCAUUCUGCUUUUAUGCCAAAUGUGGCCCUGCACGCCUCUCCUCCUCACCUCUCUGCCUCCCUGGCUGUCUGUCCCAGCCUCCACCCUGGUCCCCUUUCAGGUCGAGCUCUGCGAGCGCCUAGGGUGGUCUUCCAAGUCACAGCCUCACCUCGUUCCUCCCAGAGGCGUCACAGGACAGUGUUCGCUUGCCUCUUGGGCCUCAUUUCAUAUCCAUUCCCUGCCCUGUGAUUCUCCCUGCCUCACUCCAUUCUGGAAGGUUCCAGAAGCCUUUUUAUGCCUCCCCACCAUUGACUCCAUUCUGUUUAGAAGGUUCUAGAAGGCUUUUCACACUUCCCUGCCAUUAGUGAGCGCCGUGCAGUUCUAGAAGGUUCUGGAAACUUUUUUGUGCCUCCCUGCUAUUGGUGAGCUCCAUUCAGUUUAGAAGGUUCAUGCUUGCCUACCAUUGGUGAGCUCUCGAAGGUUUUGGGAGCCUUUUCAGGCUUGAUAAAACAAGCUCUCAAGGCUCCCUAGCUGUUCUUGUGGAAAACAGGGUCCCCAUUUUGCUUCGUUUUCCCAGACAUUUUUCUGUCAUAAGCAGCAUUCUUUAUAUAUCUUUAUACAAUUUAUCUUUUUAAGUGUAGGAAUUAAUUUAUCCACAGGCACUUUGUACCCUUUAUAAAUAUUGUUGCAUAUUGCCAAAUGGUUUUCCAGAAAAGCUGAGCCAUUUUUCAGUAUUAAUGUCAGUAAAUCUUGAAUUUUAACUCAAAAAUACUCCAUCUGUAUUGGCCCCAAAUGAAGUUGUACACUAAGAGGGCACAGUGUGUUCUUCUGUUUCUAAAAGCUGAUAUAAGUGAAGUGGCCUUCUGCUCACCUUAGUCCUUCCAAGGCAAGGCAGGGGAUGACGGGAUGUAGGGUACAGGGGUUCCUCGCCGUCCAUGGGGGACCCCUCCCGGCAAGAAUACCAAAAUCUAAGGAUGUUCAAGUCCCACACGGAGCAUGGCGUAGUAUUCGUGUCUGACCUACACACGUCCUCCCACACACACUUCCCAUCCCCUCUAGAUGGCUUGUAGUACUUGGCAGAACACAAGUGCUGUGUGGAUGAUUGGUAUGCUGCAUUCUUGGGGAAUUGCGACCAUUAAAAAUUGGGUCUGCACAAACUCGGUACAGACAAAUUUCUUCUCUCCCAAAGAUUUUUGAUCUUUGGUUGACUCUAUAGACGUGGAACCCACAGAUACGGUGGGCCGACUCUCCUUUGAAUUUCCAGCAUAUAAGAAUGAAACUUUUGACUACAGAGUACAUCAGUCCUCCCUGGAGCUUGGUUGCUGUUUAGCCACAGUGUGAUCCGGCGAGAAGCAGAGCCAGCCGAUUGUUGCUACGUCUGCCUAGUGGAAUGCACAGAGCACGCAGUCAGAUCUUCUCGCGGUGUUUGCCCUGCAUGGCCGUGCCCCACUGCAGUGACUGCAGCCCAUUUCAGAAAGUGCAGUUGAGUGUGGCUCUAGUGCCCUGGAGUGAUGCGACCUGGGGUUUCCCGGUAGACUGAAUUAGAAGGGGUAGGCUCUGCAAGCCUUGAAGGAGCCCAGUCCCUGAAUGUCGUGCACCAUUGGAAAAUAAGGUGGGCAGAAGCCUGCUGGGCAAGUGGACCCACAUUGACAGAGCUUCUUUGGGUUAAAAUUCAGGUUCUGUCGGCACUGACAAGUGUGUAUGGAUUCAUGUUUUUGGCUUCCCAUGUUUUCAUUUCAGAUUACUAAGGUAACUCAUUUUUGUGUAAAAUAAUCCAGAAAGGGGUCAUCACUUUCCAGAAAGUGCUAGUUCUUGCAUUCUGCUUUCCAGUUUUCACAGCAGUCAUAUGAAACUAGCCACACUGGGUUUAGCUCUUGGAGGAGGCUGCAGCUAGCUCAGAUGGGUUUUGUUUAUGGAGAGAGUAUUAGAGUAGUAUUUAACAUAAACAGGACAUGCAGGCAGAUCAAUGUUUCUGGCAUCAAAAAUAGUCCAAGUGUGGCUUUGCAAGCAUACUUUGGGGAUCAUUUUUCUUUGUACUAAAAAUAAAAGUUUUAAAGUAACUACUUACCAAAAAAAAUAAUAUGUUUCCUUGCACUGGAGAAAGCUACAUAGAUGGGGGACUUGUAUCCUCUGUUUCCAGGGCUCGUGAUUUCAACACAGCCUUUGUAGACAGUAGAGUCAGCGCAGCUAUACUGGGCAUUGCCCUUUCUGGUUUCUUUAUUUCACCACUAAUUCUCCGUUAGCUUUCCCCCAGGCUCCCACUGUACUUCCUAGACAGAUGCAUUGUCCUUCUGAUGUCUUUGUGAAAUCGGGUCUAUAUUUCCGAUUUUUAGCACAGCAUUUUCUUUUGUUGUCACUUCAACCAAUUCUGGUACGUCCUAAAUUAUUAUAUUAAGUACUGAAAUUAUUAAGGAAUUGCAAAACAGUUUCCAUUAUAAAGCCCUGUUUUCAUCAUUUCAAAGUUUCCAGCAAUCUUCCUUUUGUAAAGAUGUUUUCCAGGAAACGGAUGCCCGACAGAAGUCAACAGCCUUGAGAUGGAUAUCAGUAUGGGCAUGCAUUGUUGGCUUCUGGUGUUUUUUUUUUUCCCCCUUGACUUUUAUUCUCUAUUACCUCUUGGUUCUAAGUGUGAAAGACAGAGAAAUGACAAAGGAAUCUGUGCCUUUCUGUUCUUAUGGAAGACUAGGUUGGUACCUGCUGUGAUGUGGACAUAGUUUGUCCCCUCUAAAACUCAAGUCGAAAUUCAAUGUCCAGCAUAACAGUGUUGAAGGUGAAGUGGGAUUAAUGCCUGAUGAGGCUGAGUUAAUUCUCACUGGGUUAGUUAGCAGGAGAGCCGCCUGCUAGGAAGCCAGACCGCCCCUCUUGGGUGCUUGGUCUCUUCCGCACGCCCCUGCUUGCCCUUCUGCUUAGCAGCGUGAGGCCCUCGCCAGACUCAUGCCCUUGGACUUCGGCUCGUGGAGCUGUCUCUCCCUUGUACGUUACUCAGCCUCGGGAAUUUUGUUAUUGCAACACCAAGCACACUCAGAUGGUGUCCUUUGGUGCACAAUUCGCAGGAGGAGCUUUAGCCUGAGCUCCCGCACAGAAGCGCCCAGGCACUCCCCGCGUGGGCUCUCCCGAUGGAAGCGGGCGCCCACACGCGGCUGUGAACAGUAACACCUUCAGGGCCGUGACUCGUGCAAACUCCAUUAGUUUUCCGCAGAUUCUGGGCCUGGGCUGGAGUGCUCAGAACUGCCUGCCAUCUGACUUCGUGGGUUAAAAGAUAAACUGAGGUGGGGAAACACGUUUUUGACAGUCAGAGCGCGAGCCCUGUCUGUGCUCACCGGUGUGCUGAGUCAUGCUUAGUAGCUCGUGGCCAUAUGAUUGCUUGCCGGCACACCUGAACUGUGCCUUUCCCAGAACUAGCUUACGCAUGUCCUAGGAGGAAUGUUUGAGUAAGAGUCAGAGGCCGUGAAUGUGAGCAUUGGUGUACGGCCCUGACCUUGGGAAAGUAACCUGAACUCUCCGAGGGCAGCGGCAGGAAGGCCUUCACCGUGUCUUCUGAGGGUUUAGAGAAGCUCCAGUGAGUGCGUCUAUGCGAAACGACCUUGAAAACUGCAGAGUGUAGGUUGACGGCAACUUAGAGUCAUGAUCGGCCAGGGCCUGCGGGGCGAGCUGGAAAAUGUGAGCUACGUUCAAAAGAAUGUCACGGACCCAGUUCAGGGUAUUUCGGCUGACUUAAUCCACUGGAACACGGGGCAUUUCAGAGUGCGGCGCUGAAAGCACUAGGCUUAUCAGACCAUUACCCGGAGGACAUUUGUGUGCCCGACAAAGGAGUUCUGUGGCUUCCUCCUUGCCCAGGAAAGUUAGAGAGGUGCCGUGGUGGCCACCUGCGUGGCAGGACUCACUGCGGAGCCGUCUCUUCGUCACCCUUGUCAGGACUCACUCUGGAGCAUGAAGCUGGGCCCAGGACAAACCGGCUUUCACGCGGGUGCGUCUUACAGGAAAGUCCUGUGCUGUGAAUCAAACGCAGAUUGUUUUUAGACUUCCUGACACCGCUUCAUCUGUCAGGCAAGGGUUUUUUUUUUCCCCUUAAUCCUGGCCUUGUUCCGAAUUUUCCAACUAUUCCUGGAAUAAGUGGCCUGCAUUCAUCCCUCUGCAUUCUCACACUUUCCAGUGACCCUAAUGGGAAUUUCAUGCAGCUAGAAUAACAGAACUUUAUGAUUUUUUAUUAUGAUUGCUUGGGAGCGUAUUUUUAGUAUUCAGGUGAAGCAUUUUUAUAGUGCUGCGUUAGCAUAGAUAUUAAUACACAUGGGUAUUUGUAGCUCUGCCUUGCUUUCCCACACAUUGUUCAGUUACAUAAGCUGAAUUAUGUUGUACAUGAUUAUAUUCCUUCUGGUCACAUCUUUUUGUAUUUCCUGAGUUCAGAGCACUAGAGCCCAAGGAGCCUUCGUCACUGAUUUUGAAGCAAGGCAAGACUGACAUCCAGGGAGGCGUCUGUUCCGCCCAGUGCAGCACAAUUCCUAUGGCAAAGCCCCGGCCUGGACUAGGACUUCAGACCCCAAGGCCAUUGUCCUCGAGAAGAUGCUCUGGUUUCUCGGGAAAUCCAAAUGUCUACUCCUCAGUACACUUAGGAAACACGUGCAGUAAUUUAGAAUAGCCAGGUUUUCUGCAGAGCUGGAGAGUGUACCGCCUUUCAGCCGUCAGAAAUGAAUAGUUAACUAUUCGGGAUUGGGUCUAAAAUGGACAGUCCAACCCUGCUUUCUUGAGUACGGGUAAAAAUUGUAGGCCAGCACUGUAGGGCAGUGGGUUAAGCAGCCUCUUGCAAUGCCAGCAUCCCAUAUUGGAACACUGGUUCAAGUCCUGGCCGCUCCACUUCCGAACUAGCUCCCUGGUAAUGUGCCUGGGAAAGGAUUGGGAAAGUGGUUGGGUCCCUGACACCUCCAUUGGAUGGAGUUUCUGGCUUGUGGCUUCAGCCUGGCCCAUAGCCAACUGUUGGAGCCAUCUGGGGAGUGAACCAGCGGAUGGAAGACCUCUCUUUCUCUCUCUCUCUCUCUGUCUCUCUCUCUCUCUCUCUCUCUGUCUCCUCCUCUCCCUCUCUGUUGCUCAGCCCUUCAUAUGAAUAAAUAGUUUCUUUUUAAAAAAUGUGAAAGUUUUGCUCUUGAUAAUUCUUAGUAAUGCUUUUAUUGACCAUCUCCUGAGUCACCCACCUCCAUCGCUGUGCUUUGUGACAGGUGGGGGCGGUGGUGGGGGGUGGGGCUGGAGGAUAUGACUGAGCCUGAGCCUGAGGCUCGUUUUCCCAGAGCAGGUUGCUGGCUGGCGGAUCUUUCCACCCUUGGUUUCCUUGUGCGUGCUUCUCUGUGAGCUAGCCAGCCAGGUAGUGCAUGUGGGCCGCUGCCCAGGUAACACCUGCCUGGUCUGCAAAGGGUCAGUCUGAAGAGAAGCCAGGUGUCUUGUCCAUUGCAGGGGCACUGACAGCACUGCACCGUCUCCACCCGGGACACGUGGGACCACAGGCACCGCCUCGGCAGCUUGAACUUGUCAACAUGGUUGUCACGGGGUGGAUGGAUCAUUCUUCACUAUUUUAAGAAUCUGUGUUAGACUGGCUACGGUUUCAUCGUCACUCUGCCUCAGAUUCUGAUUCCGAGUCAAACAUCCGAGAGAACAAAGCUCAAAGCGUGUUAGCCUUUGUUCCUCCACCGUGAGAAAGAAUCAGAGCCCGCCUGCUGCAGAGACCUGAGGACUCCAACAGGGAAGGCAGGCGGGGCGCUCACCCCGGACCGGUGGGUCUGAGCCGUCAGUCACUCUGUGAUCGCUGCCGCAGCCCCCAUCCUCACCCCGAGCAACGUCAUCGUGCGUGAGAGGUGGACAGCACCUUUCCACGCUUCAAGCCCAUGGAGUGUGCUUUUGUGGUGCCUAUCUUUUGUUUGUUUGUUUGUUUGAACAGGCAGAGUGGACAGUGAGUGAGAGAGAGAGAGAGAGAGAGAGAGAGACAGAAAAAGGUCUUCCUUUGCCGUUGGUUCACCCUCCAAUGGCCGCCGCGGCCUGCGCGUUGCGGCCGGUGCACUGCGCUGAUCCGAUGGCAGGAGCCAGGUGCUUCUCCUGGUCUCCCAUGGGGUGCAGGGCCCAAGCACUUGGGCCAUCCUCCACUAUACUCCCGGGCCACAGCAGAGAGCUGGCCUGGAAGAGGGGCAACCGGGACAGACUCCGGCGCCCCGACCGGGACUAGAACCCGGUGUGCCGGCGCUGCUAGGCGGAGGAUUAGCCUAUUGAGCCGCAGCGCCGGCUGUGGUGCCUAUCUUUAAAAAGCAUCUCAAAAUUUUAAAAAGCUGCCACCUGACCCUUGCCAACACCCUGCCAUGCCGCCUGCUUCCUCGCCUUUUUGGCCACAGUGCCUGGUGACAGCCAGCGCCGCCUGCUGGGGUUGUGUAGCCCUGGGUUGGACGCCUUCCCCUCAGUCCUCCCUCAACUCAAGCAAUAACGUCUUCUGCACCGGUGUUCCGUCCGGGCUGCCACCUGCGCACCUCACUGGACCCUCGUGGGCAUUGCCAGUGAGUGUUUCUGCAGUGCGCAGCUGGAGGGAGCCAUCCCAGCGCGCCGUGUCUCGGUGACAUCUCUGGUGCAGUGGAUGCCUUGACCCGUGGCUCUGCGUGUGUGCCCGGCUCUGGAGGCACCAGCAGCAUGUCCAGUAUUUGUGUCAGCCCUGCAGGGGCGCUGUUCUCGCGGCCCCUGGACCUGCCAGGCAGCGUGACAGAUGUGACACAGCUGAGCUCGGUGUGCUCCUGUGGCAUCGUGAGCAGCAGCAGUUGUCCUCACCUGAAACGUGCGGGAGCUGUUUCUCUACUCAAAUCCUCCUCGUGUUGAAAACUGCUCUAAAUGUUUUCCCUACUAACUGUAGGACAAGGGAUAUACAACUAAGUACUUUGUUGUGUUUUUUUUUUUUUUUGAAGAUUUACUUAUUUAUUUGAAAGCCAAAGUUAACACACAGAGAGGAGAGGCAGAGAGAGAGAGAGAGAGCAAGGUCUUCCAUCUGCUGGUUCACUCCCCAGUUGGCUGCAACAGCUGGAGCUGUGCCCAUCCAAGGCCAGGAGCCAGGAGCUUCUUCCAGGUCUCCCACACAGGUGCAGGGACCCAAGGACUUGGGCCAUCUUCUACUGCUUUCCCAGGCCAAGGCAGAGAGCUGGAUCGGAAGUGGAGCAGCCAGGACUCAAAAUGUGCCCAUAUGGGAUGCUGGCAUUGCAAGCGGCUGCAUUACCUGCUACGCCACAGCACCGGCCCCACAAAUAAAUACUUUCACUACUGACUGUUGCCGUGAUUGCAAAACUACACUAUUUCCAAGCAAGUUCUGAUGCACGCUUGUUAGUGUCAAGAGUAUGAGAUUGUUCAUCAGACACCUCAUUCUCUUGAAAAUUGUGAAAAAUCAAAGCACAUGGUUUCGACUUAUGUGAAUUACAUAUUUUGUUACGAAAACCAUGUUUAUUUAGAGUUACUAUGGAAAAUGCCUUCACUUUUUUUUUGCCUUUUAAUUUUAAAGCAUUUUUAUUAUGGAGAUUUUUAAACAGGUACAGAGACAGACAGUAUAUUUGGCUGAGUCCCAUAUACUCAACUCCGCACCCAGACUCAACAGCUGUCAGUGCAUGGACCCCCACCCAUGCUCACACAUAGGGUGAUUUCACACACCUCAGCCAUCACAUCAUUUCAUUUGUCUGCCCCUCAAGGAGAUAAGGACUCUCUUCUUAACAAAAAUAAAAUCUUGGGCUGGGCAUUUGGCACAGUGAUUAACUCACUACUCAGGAGACCCACAUCCUGUGUCAGAUAUGCUUGGUUCAAGUCCCAGCACCAGUAGAGCUUCCAAUCCAACUUCUGGCUUAUGCACACUCUGGGAAGCAGCAGGUUAUGGCUCAAGUACUUGGGUUCCCGCCACCCAUGUGGGGGACCCAUUUCGAGUUCAGAUCACCUGGCUUUGGCCUGGGGCAGCCGUGCAUAUUUUAGACAUUUGAGAAGUGAACCAGUGGGUGGAAUAGUUUCUCUCUCUCUCUCUCUUUCUUUAAAAUAAUUUCAAAAAUAAAUAAAUUUCUUAGUAUCAAAUACCAUCCUGUGUUCAAAUUUCCCUAAUUAGCCUAUGAGUAUCUUUUAGUAAUUUUUUUAAUUUAUUUGACAGAGUUAGACAGUGAGAGAGACAGAAAGGUCUUCCUUCCAUUGGUUCACCCCCUAAAUGGCUGCCAUGGCUGGCGCUGCGCCGAUCCGAAGCCAGGAGCCAGGAGCUUCCUCCCAGUCUCCCAUGCGGGUGCAGGGCCCAAGCACUUGGGCCAACUUCCACUGCCUUCCCAGGCCACAGCAGAGAGCUGGACUGGAAGAGGAGCAACCAGGACUAGAACCGGCGCCCAUAUGGGAUGCCAGGCCGCAGGCAGAGGAUUAACCAAGUGAGCCAAGGCACCAGCCCCUCGAGUAUCUUUUUAUAAUGAGUAUAUUUGAAUUAGAAUCCAAAUAAGAUAUACCCCCUGCAUUUGGUUGUCUCUUGUCUCUUAAUUCCUGGGGUCUUCAUUUGUAUUGGAAGAUACGGUUUCAUUUGCGUCCUGUUAGCAUCUUGUAGCACAUCCAUUUACUCCUUGUGUUGGGUAUAAACUUACUUGUAGGUCUGGGAGCUUAGAGCCAGAGUUUGUGUUUGAAUAGGAAGGCCUCGUGUGGGAUCCUCUGUGCUGACUGCUGCUGUUCAGAGACAUGCACAGGGAGCCUGGUCAUCUCCCCUCGUGUGAUGUUAGGAUCCUGCCACCCCUGCAGCAGGCGUGGCCUCUCCUUCAGCUUGUGAAAUUCCCUACCCACCUUUGACCUGGUAAUUUUAGCAGCUGUUGCUGACCUCUGUUCCCAGAUUUAUCACACACCUGAAGCCUAACUUUCAGCACCAGGAUACAAAGGCUCUUCAGAAAGUUUGUACAAAAGUGGAAUAAAGGGGCCGGCACUGUGGCACAGCGGGUUAACGCCCUGGCCUGAAGCGCUGGCAUCCCAUAUGGGUGCCGGUUCUAGUCCCAGCUGCUCCUCUUCCAAUCCAGCUCUCUGCUAUGGCCUGAGAAAGCAGUGGAGGAUGUCCCAAGUGCUUGGGCCCCUGCACCCACGUGGGAGACCAAGAAGAAGCUCCUGGCUCCUGGCUUCAGAUCAUCACAGCUCCAGCUGGUGCGGCCAUCUGGGGAGUGAACCAUUGGACAGAAGACCUCUCUCUCUCUCUGCCUCUCCUCUCUGUGUUACUAUGACUUUCAAAUAAAUAAAUAAAUAUUUUUUUUAAAAAAAGUGGAAUAAGGAGAUGUUUAAUUUGGUGAAAUAUUUUUGAAAUCCAUGUCUGAAUUUUUUCCAUAAUACACAUUGUCCAUGAACUUUUUUAAGGCCCCUCAUUUAACUCCAUUUAAAAAAAAAUUCUUUUUUUUUUUUUAAAGUUCAUUAGAAGUUUUAGCCAGAGCUAUUAGGCAAGAAAAGGAAAUCAAAGGGAAACAAAUCAAAAAGGAGAAAAUCAACUUACCCCUGUUGGCAGAUGACGUGAUUCUAUAUAUAGGGGAACUAAAAGACUCCACUGAGAACUUGUAAGAUCAAUCCCAUUUACAAUAGCUACCAAAAUAUUUAAAUAUCUUGGAAUAAAUUUAACCAAGGAGGUGAUUGAUCUCUACAAUGAAAAUUACAAAACAUUAAAGAAAGAAAUAGAAGAAGACACCAAAAAAUGGAAAAACCUUCCAUGUUCAUAGACUGGAAGAAUUAAUAUCAUCAAAAUGUCCAUACUACCGAAAGUAAUUUACAGAUUUAAUGCAAUACCAAUCAAAAUACCAAGAUCAAUGAUAUUCUUCUCAGAUCUAGAAAAAAACAAUGCUAAAAUUCAUAUGGAAGCACAAGACCCCAAAAGCUAAAACAAUCUUAAACAACAAAGCAAUGCCAGAGGCAUCACGGUACCAGAUUUCAAGACAUACUACAGGGAAGUUAUGAUCCAAACAUCCUGGUACUGGCACAGAAAUAGGCAUGUAAACCAAUGGAACAAAUUGAAACCCCAGAAAUCAAUCCAUGAAUCUCAACCAGUCCUGUGACCAAGGAGCUAAAAAUCAACCCCUGGAGAAACAACAACUCUCUUCAAGAAUUGGUGCUGGGAAAAUUGGAUCUCCAUGUGCAGACAUAGGAAACAAGACCCCUACCUUACACCAUACACAAAAGUCCACUCAAAAUGGAUCAAAGACCUAAAUCUAUGACCUGAUACCAUCACAUUACCAGAGGAAAACAUUGAGGAAAUUCUGUAAGACAUUGGCAUAGACAAAGACUUUUUGGAAAAGACCAUAGAAACACAGGCAGCAAAAGCAAAAAUGAAGAAAUGGGAUUACAUCAAGCUAAGAAGCUUCUGCACUGCAAAGGAAACAUUCAGCAAAGUGAAGAGGCAGCCGACAGAAUGGGAGAAAAUAUUUGCAAACUAUGCAACUGAUAAAGGAUUAGCAUCUAGAAUCUAUAAAGAGUUUAAGAAAUGCAACAAGAAAACAAACAAUCCAGUUGAGAAUGGGCAAAGGACUUGAACAGGCAUUUUUCAAAAGAGAAAAUUCAAAUGACCAACAGACAUCAAAAAAUGCUCAGUAUCACCCACGACAUCAGGGAAAUACAAAACAAAACCACAAUGAGGUUUCACCCCAGUUAGAAUGGUUCUCAUACAGAAAUCAACAAACAAUAAAUGUUGGAGAGGAUGUGGGAGAAAAUGGUACUGUUGGUGAGAAUAUAAACUGGUAUGGCCAUUGUGGAAGGCAGUAUGGAAAUACCUCAAAAAUCUGAAUAUAGACUUACCAUGUGACUCAGCCAUCCCGCUCCUGGGAAUGUACCCAAAGGAAAUGAAAUGAAAGAGUUAUCUGUAUCCCCACAUUUAUUGUAGUUCAAUUCACAAUAGCUAAGAUGUGGAAUUAACCCAGAUGCCCAUCAGCUGAUGAUGGGAUAAAGAAAUUGUGGGAUAGAUACAGUGUUGAAUACUGCUCAGCCAUAAAACAAAGAAUGAAAUGCUGUCUCACGCAACAAAAUGGAUGCAAUUGGGAACCAUGCUUAAUGAAGGAAGCCAGUCCCUGGCCGGCGCCACGGCUCACUAGGCUAAUCCUCCACCUUGCGGCGCCAGCACACUGGGUUCUAGUCCCGGUCGGGGCGCCGGAUUCUGUCCCAGUUGCCCCUCUUCCAGGCCAGCUCUCUGCUGUGGCCAGGGAGUGCAGUGGAGGAUGGCCCAGGUGCUUGGGCCCUGAACACCAUGGGAGACCAGGAUAAGUGCCUGACUCCUGUCAUUGGAUCAGCGCGGUGUGCCGGCCGCAGCACGCCGGCCGCAGCGCACCGGCUGCGGCGGCCAUUGGAGGGUGAACCAACGGCAAAGGAAGACCUUUCUCUCUGUCUCUCUUUCUCACUGUCCACUCUGCCUGUCAAAAAAUAAAAAAAAAGAAGCCAGUCCCCAAAAUACAAAUACCAUGUUUUACCUGACCUGUGGUAACUAGUAGAGUACAAAAAAAUUAAUGUAUUUGAGCAAAAUUGACAUUUUGAGAAUUGAUUAUUGUUUACAGCCCUUGUCUCUACUGUUGAGAAACAGUGGGGUUUUUUUUCUUCUUACUAUUUGUUAAAGUUUCUUACUGGCCGGCGCCGCGGCUCAAUAGGCUAAUCCUCUGCCUGCAGCGCUGGCACACUGGGUUCUAGUCCUGGUCGGGGCGCCAGAUUCUGUCCCAGUUGCCCCUCUUUCAGUACAGCUCUCUGCUGUGGCCCGGGAGUGCAGUGGAGAAUGGCCCAAGUCCUUGGGCCCUGCACCCGCAUGGGAGACCAGGAGAGGCACCUGGCUCCUGCCUUCGGAUCAGUGCAGCGCGCCGGCCACGGUGGCCAUUGGAGGGUGAACUAACGGCAAAGGAAGACCUUUCUCUGUCUCUCUCACUGUCCACUCUGCCUGUCAAAAAAAAAAAAAGUUUCUUAUUUAGUGGAAAGUUAAUCUUUUGAUUGUAAAAUAAACUUAAAGUAGAUCAUUGUAAAAAUUAAAGAGGGCUGGCGCCAUGGUUCACUUGUUUAAUCUUCCACCUGCAGCACUGGCAUCCCACAUGGGUGCCGGGUUCGAGUCCUGAUUGUUCCUCUUCCAGUCCAGCUCUCUGCUGUGGCCUGGGAGGGCAGUGGAGGAUGGCCCAAGUGCUUGGGCCCUGCACCCCAUGGGAGACCAGGAGAAGCACCUGGCUCCUGGCUUCAGAUCGGCGCAGCGCUGGCUGUGGUGGCCAUUUGGGGAGUGAACCAACAUUAGGAAAACCUUUCUCUCUGUCUCUCUCUCUCACUGUCUAUAACUCUACUUAUCAAAUAAAUAUUAAAAAAUUGAAAGAAUAAGAAGGAAGGAGGAGGGGUGAUAGGAGUGUGAGAGGGCAGAAGGGUAGGGUGGAAAGUAUCACUGUGCUCCUAAAUCUGUAAAUAUGAAAUACAUGAAAUUUAUAAAAAUUUAAACAAUUCCAGUAGUAAGUACUUAGAAAUGCUGAGGGAUUCUGAUAAAAUAAUCAUUUUUAGUUGAAAGUGAUUGCAUAAUUCAAAAUAUUUUCACCUUUUUUUGCGCAGAAACAUAUACUUUUCAGGAUGCUAACUAGAAAGCUAAAAUCAAUUUUAUGUCUCAAAUAACAAAGACAAGUAUGAGAAACAAUUAGUAAGGAGUUAGCUCAUUUGCUGUCUAAUCUAAAGAUUGAGCUGGAUGUUAUUUCUAAGAGAUUGUCUGUAUUAAAACCACAGGUCACUUUAAAACCUUUGUCUUCCUUAAGAAAACCAAACAAAUGCAGGCAGCUUUAAGUACUCCGUGUUCCUUUGGAAGUCCUGUGAAAAUAAUGGGCGAUUAUCUUUGGGAAGGUCCCUUUAGAUAAAGCGCCCUGCACAGCAGCGGUGUUUUCGUGCCGGCUGCCUCUCUCUCUGUCUGAAUGGAGUUUUACUUGCUGGCGUGUUCCUUUCAUUACACAAAGCUCUGGCUUGCCAGCUGCAUGCAGUGAGUUGUGACCCGAGCACAGUGCUUUGCUGCGAGCUGACCCUCUGAGGGUUGUGGCGUCCACCAGCACCCAAAAGCGUUGGUUUGUCUUGGGAAUUCCUAGCCAAAAGUUUCUUUGGGACUUAGAGUUAAGAGCUUCAGAUUGUGCCUAGGCUCCUGGGUUUUAUAUAUCACUCCGCUUUUUAUGUGGAAUAAUCUUCCUCAGAAUCGUUUCAGGAAACGAGAAAAGUAGGAGAUGGUUAUGAGUCAGCCGUGGAAAACUACAGCAUGGAAGGAAUUAGUCAGCAGGAGGGUUCGGUGGCCAGGCGAGCUGUGUGCUAUCAGGAAGUGGCGUGACUUUCCAUGAUUUUGUGCACUGUAAAUCAUGUGGCAUCAUGCUCCCAGACACCCUUAUUUUCCAAUUAUAAUUCUUCAGAUAAAAUUGACAAGCACCGAUGGAGCAAAAGCACCCAAGGGCUCUGAGGAGUUGCUGCCCCUACUGGAGGGGUCCGUGCUGUUGGCCCCCGGCGCCCGCUCCCUCUGCUGGGCUAGGGUCUUGCAGCGGGAAUUUGCAGGGGCAGCCGGGCCAGGCCUGAGAAGCCCCUAGCCCCAGCAGAGCUGCGGUUGCAGAGGGGAGCUGGCCACCCUUUCUUCGGGUUUCCCACGCUUUCUCUCUUGCCCCGGCCUGGCUGCUGAUAAAGCCACACCAUUGGUGCCCUGGGAGAGGGUGGCUUCAUGCUGUGUCAUCAUGUGCUUCAGAGACAAUCUGAAGACAGGGGUUGUGUUCCUCCUCUACUAUCCAGUUACCAUAAGGACUUGUAGAAAAGGGUGGGUUAGGGACUGGCGCUGUGGCGCAGUGGGUUAAAGCCCUGGCCUGAAGCGGCGGCAUCCCAUAUGAGUGCUGGUUCUAGUCCCGGCUGCUCCUCUUCCAGUCCAGCUCUCUUUUGUGACCUGGGAUAGCCGUGGAAGAUGGUGGCUCGAGUCCUUGGGUGCCUGCACCCAUGUGGGAGACCCAGAGGACGCUCCUGGCUCCUGGCUUCAGAUCGGCACAGCUCCGGCCAUUGCGGCCAUCUGGGGUGUGAACCAGAGGGUGGAAGACCUCUCUCUCUGUCUCUACAUCUCUCUCUGCAACUCUGUCUUUUAAAUAAAUAAACUCAAAAAAAAAAGAAAAAAGAGAAAAAGGGUGGAUUAAAAGUCUGAGUUGGGGUGGUUGUGGUGCUGCGGGUUCAGCCGCCCCUUGAGACACCCCCGUCCCUUAUCGCGGGGCUGGUUUGAACCCCAGCGGUUCCACACUUCCAAUCCAGCAUUCCCGCUGAUGCGUCCCUGGAGGCGGCCAAUGAUGGCUGAAGUGCUGGGACCCCUGCCACUCCUGCAGGAGACCUGGAUGGAGUUGUGGGCUCCUGGCUUUGGCCUGGCUCAGCCCUGGCUGUUGUGGGCAUUUGGGGAGUGACCCAGUGGAUGGAAGAUCUCUCUCUCUCUUUCUCUCUCUCUCUCUCUCUUUCUCUCUCUCUCUCUCUCUCUCUUUCUUUCUCUGUCUGUUGCUCUGCUUUUCUAAUAAAUAAACACUUAAAAAGAAAAACCUGAGCCAUGUGAACUCCAUAAAACUACAUCUUUAGAAGAAAAUACUGAAAAUAUAGCCAAGCACUCAGAUUUAAAGUGUAUGGCUCUAUUGGUAAAGUAAGUCAGUGGAAACCUAACCAAGUUGGCUUCUUCCCUAUCUCUUAUGAUAGGCACAUCAGCCUUUCCGUGGUUGCAGCUUGGUGUAUGUGUGUAAUUUUUGUUUGGGCAAACAAGUCCAAUGGAAUAAUUCAAUCAAUAAGGGUGGGGGAGUAAUUAACAUUCCUGUUGACAUGGAUGGCGUUCCAGUUGACCCUGGUGCCUGUGGCAACCUGGUACACAGUUUCUCUCGAAGAAAGGCUGUGAGCCGGGUUCACCUGCUCCGCUGUUUGUGGCGCUCUGGCAGGCUUCCCACAGAGAAGUAUGAGCCAGAAGCUAACCCCGACAGCCUCAGCGCACGCUCGCGGGGAACCAUGACGCAGCAGUCAGGUGACGAUGAUGGGCGUGUUCCUCCUCCCUCCCUACUUGAGACCCAGGCCGUGUGGAGGCGUCUUGUUAAAGCACAGCUUCUGCUGCAGCGGAUCCAGGUGUGGGAGAACCAGGUUCUGCAUUUCUAGCAAGCUCACAGGUGAUGCCAAUGCUACUGGCUGGGGACGCCUAGCAUCCUUCACCCCAGAGAAGGAACUGAGUCUCUAGUUAGACAGGGGCCAAACCCUGAAGGUCCUCAUGGUGCAUAUGCUUCUUAAAUAUUUAUUUUUAUUUGAAAGAGUGACAGAGAGAAAGAGAGAGAUCUUCCAUCUGCUGGUUCACGGUCCAAAUGGCCACACAACUACCAAGGCUGGGCCAGGCCAAAGCCAGGAACCUGAAACUCCAUCUGGCUCUCUUACAGGGUGGCAGAGGCCCGUAUGCUUGGGCCAUCUUCUGCUGUUUUCCCAGGCACACUAGCAGGGAGCUGGAUCGGAAGAGGAGCAGCUGGGACUUGAACCACCAUUCAUGUGGGAUGCCGGCGUCACAGGCGGCGGCUUAACCUGCUGGGUCACGACACCCACCCCACACAGCCUAAUAUGAACACAGAGCCCUUUGGGGUUCAUGGCCUCAGACUGCCUUACCUUUAAGUCACCUGUCUCACACGUGCACCCGCACAUCUGGGGAGGAGUAGGGACACACUGGUCUCUUCCCACAUCCUACCCUGACCCUCACUGCAGCCUCUGAGCACGGGGCUGUCCAUCCCAAACCCUGCUGGCGCCUCCUCCAGGUCUGCUCCUUCCUUCCUUUCUCCAUUGACACGACUCUUUCCUGUGAGGAAUGUUCCAGAACAUCUGCCUCCAAGUCUUCCUGUGGGACCCACGAGCCCCACGCCACAGUGUCCCUCCUGCGCAGUUCUCCCACGGCCGCUGGCCUUGCUUCCCAGCAGGUGGGGGGAGUGGCAGGGGAGCGUGCACCGAGGUGCAAAGGCCACAGGAGUCUUUGACCAAAAGAAUCCAUCGAGGGCCGGUGCUGUGGCUCACCUGGUUAAUCCUCCACCUGUGAUGCCGGCAUCCCAUAUGGGCACCAGUUCUAGUCCCAGUUGCUCCUCUUCCAGUCCAGCUCUCUGCUGUGGCCCGGGAAGGCAGUGGAGGAUGGCCCAAGUGCUUGGGAUACCUGCACCUGCAUGGGAGAACAGGAGGAAGCACCUGGCUCCUGGCUUCAGAUCGGCGCGGCUCCAGCCAUGACGGCCAUUUGGGGAGUGAACCAACAGAAGGAAGACCUUUCUCUCUGUCUUUCUCUCUCACUGUCUAUAACUUUACCUGUCAAAAAAAAAAAUGAAUCGAGAAAGACUGUUCACCAGGGGGUGUCCAGCAUCCCAGACAACGCCGGCAGUUGCGUUCCAGAGGCAGCAACAGCUGGAGCUCGGGUUCCAGGCGGCCUGAAGGGGUUCAGAGGCCAGCGAGGCAGAGCUGUCGUCAACCUCCUGUGUGCCUUCAUUGGCCCCGUGGAAAUGGGUUAAAUCUUCACUUGCUUCUUUUAGAGCCAUGGGGUUUUCAAAUAAACCAGCAAAUCGACUUCAUGAUUUUAAAACCCUAGGAAAUAGGAUUCAGGGUUUGCCAUUCCUUUUUCCAAGGAGGAGACAAUUAUGGCUGUUUUCUGCGAGGGGCAUUUCUAAGGCUUUCCCAGCGAGCAGCCAGCCAGGAGGCCUCACACAUACCCUUAGGAGAGGAACCACGUGCAGGACCUAGGAGUGAAAAUAGUUAACUACUGGCAGGGAUCCCUGUGCCGUGUUAUCUUGGCGGAAUGGGUGCCUUUAAAAGCCUCGGUGCUGUUUCCCUUGGGCCUUCAGAUAAGAGAGCAAGACGGGGAGGGACGCGUGCCCGCUGACUGCCAAGAACGUGUUCCUCAAAGGCCGGUUAGUGGCUGUCGCAGGUCUGUGUGUGUGUCUGCAGCAGCCUCUGGGACCAUUGCGUCAGCAUCCAUGGAUGAGUGCGUUCCGGCUGCGCACCGGCCAGCAGCAGGCUGCGGAUCCCCUCAGAUGCCUGACGACCCCGGGGCACGCCCUGUGCUCUGCAGGCAGUAGGGUGUGCCCUGCGGGGUGGGCUGGACAUCCCUGUCCGGUCCUCUUCUCCUGAAGAACAGCAAAGUGAACUGCAGCUGGGAACGUGUGCUCCCGCCGAGACCUUAUUCCUGGGGAAGGUGGGCGUGCUCUGUCACCAGGAGUGACGUCAGGGUCCUAGAGGCUGGAAUCCGGGAUCGUGGUGCCAGCAGGGUUGGUUCCUCCCGAGGCGUCACUCCUGGGCGACACCAUCUCACUGUGCCCUCACACGGUCUUCUCUGUCUCACGUCCCUCUGUGCAUCCGAAACUCCUCUUCUUAGAAUGACACCUCCCUAACAGCCUCAUCUUAAUGCCAUCACCCUUGAAGGACCCUGUCCCCAAAUACACAGUCUGAGCCCUUGGAGGUGCAGGCUUGAGGUGGGGGUGGACACUGCAAUUCACCUCCCAGCAGAGUUCACAGAAACCGCUUUGAAAUUGCAACACUGUUUCUCGGACUCAUUACUUUGUGGUUCUCCCACUUCUUUUCGAGAACGGUUCUGUCUUCGUCCUAGUGGGAAGAUGAUAGAUCUGGAAUUUUAUUGUGGGAGCCAGCAGUAACACACUACCAAGAGAAUCCUCCAAAUGGAAUCUGAGGCCACUGGCAAGGAUUUUACACUGGGAGUCGAUGUCUUUAGACACCCAUCCAGAAUGUUCUAUGGAGAACAGAGUGGACCUUUGCCACUAGGGAGCCAGGGCCAUGCUCCUGGCCCCGCCUCACUCUGCCCUACAGGACUUUGGGUGCCUGAAGAUAGUCUGGGGGCCCAGCAGCUGGCAAAGUCAGAGCCUGGCCCAGGGUGCAGGGUGGGUAUUGGACCACACUGGCAGCUGCUCCCCACCUCCCUCCACUGGGACGUGUCAAACAAACACCAGCCACUGGAGCUGCUCACCUCGCCCCAGCCCCCAGCCCCGUCCUCCACUUCUGCGUGCCCCUGGUGUUGCCAGUGGAGUUAAACCUCGUUGGGUUUCGUGGAUAUCGGCAACAAGGCAGGCACUACGCAGCCCUAUUUGGACCUGGACUGGAGGGGUCGCCGACACUUCCCUGGCCGUGAGAGAGCAGUAAUUUUCUAAGGUUCCCUCCCUGCUGACGUUUCGGGUCUUGGGUACUCAGCGCCAACGCUGACUUGGAGCAUUGCAGUGCCUCAUCCGGUGAGCGCGUUCUCAAACCUCAAAGCAGAUUAGAAUAUCACCGAAACCACCACCAGGCUAGAAAACAAACACUGCCGUGCAAGAGGUAAAAAUAUUCAUUACAGGUCACAGCUCGAGCCCUAGCAAGUGCCUGUGGCAGAUUCUACCGUGGCCGUGGCCGUGGCCGCUGUCACCAUGGCCAGUGCCCUGGGACUCUCUUCUUUGAGCCAGGCCUCAAGUGGCCUCAGGGGCCACCAAGAGCAGGAGUCGGAACUUGCUGGCACCCGAGCAAAGCUUCCUUCGUCCUGCAGACCAGAGACAACACAGAGCACGAGUCGCAGGGGAACGGAGGAGGACUUCAGACACGAGCAUUUGGUCGUCGCCCAACGUCUGGCAAGCCACGUCCUGUAGGCCCUUUCCUGAGUAUGUGACCACAAGUCAGUUUGUUGGCAAAGCAGUUUAGCAAAAUCCUCAAACCUACCCGAAUAAGAAACGGGUGUAAAAUUAGCUCCGGGAAGAAAGGCCGGCAUGUCUGUGCAUGGCACGUGGGGCCGUUCUGUGUUCAAGUUCAUAGUGUGGACCAGCAAUACGUAAUAUUCUAAUUACAUGGUACUAAGAAUCUAAAAUUCUUCUGCAGGGUAUUUGACAAUAAACAUUAGUAGACUUAGAGAUACGUGUGUGGAUGUGAAGAACAGCUUUUAAAAUUAUCAAACUUUUGUUCAGUUAAAACAGUAGUCUUGUGACAUUAAGAUAUAUGUCAGUCUUAUCACACAUAAAGGUACUAAAUGGUGUGUAAACUGUGUCUCAGUAUUAGUUAUAUCAAAGCAUGCUAUGCGUAUAUUUCAAAAUUUUUAAUAUUGUUGAGAAUUAAGUUCUAAUUAUAUUUUUUAAAAAGACUUACGUAUUUAUUUGAAAGGCAGAAUUACAGAGAGACAGAGGCAGAGAGAGAAAGAGGUCUUCCAUCCACUGGUUCACUCCCCAAUUGGCCGCAAUGGCCAGAGCUACGCUGAUCUGAAGCCAGGAGCCAGGAGCUUCUUCUGGGUCUCCCACGCAGGUGCAGGGGAACAAGGACUUGGGCCAUCUUCUACUGUUUCCCCGGGCCACAGCAGAGAGCUGGAUCAGAAGUGAAGCAGCCAGGACUCGAACUGGCGUCCAUAUGGGAUGCCGGCACUGCAGGCAGCAGCUUCACCUGCUAUGCCACAGCACCGGCCCCAAGUUCUAAUUAUUUGCUUCCUUAGCAUUUCACAUAACUUUUAUGCCUUCAAGAGCUCCACUUUCCCAGCUUCUUAGUUUAGGAAGUCAGUAAAGAACUUUUGCAAGGACCGGCAUCAUGGCACAGUGGGUUAAUCUGCCACCAGUAAUGCCACUGUCAUCCCAUAUCACAGCACCAGUUCAAGUCCUGGCUGCUCCACUUCCCAUCCUGUUCCCUGUUAAUGUGCCUGGGUUCCUGCCAUCCACAUGGGAGACCUGGAUGGAGUUCCAGGAUCCUGGCUUUGGCCUGACCCAGCCCUGACCAUUAUGGCCAUUUGAGGAGUAAACCAGCUAAUGGGAGAUUGAUCUUUCUCUCUCUCUCUCUCUCUCUCUCUCUCUCUCUCUCUCUCUCUCAGUCUGCCUUUCAAACAAGUCAGAGGUAUGCCAUCUUAUUAGAAGAACUGAUCAAAUUAUUGAUGUAAGUUAAUCUCAAAGUCCUUAGUCAUCAGUUCAUAUUUGUCCAGGUAAAACAAUCUCAUCCGUAGCUGUGAAAGCAGAAGCUAUACUGUAAUGAAGACACGCUGGAAGUCUUAAUUUGGUGCUUCUCAAAACGGGUUAAAAUGCAGUUCUUAAGAAGAUGAGCUUAGAAUCAUAGAUUUGGUUCAAAGUCCUGGCUCCAGAGCUGGGUGAUGGUGGAUGUUUUGAGUCAGCUUGGACUUACAUAACAAAGUACCGUAGACUGGUUUCCAGGAUAACCAUUUAUUUCCCACUGUGCGGCAGCGGGGCGCCAGCAUGGUUAGUUCCUGGUGGGGGCUCUCUUCCAGGCCUGCAGGUGGCUGCCUUCUUGCUGUGUGCCCACAUGCCUGAGGGAGAGAAAUCAAGUUCUUAUCUCACACGGGCAUUCAUCCAUCCCACCAGGAGGACCCUGCCCUUUCGACCUCCCCAGCCCUAAGCAUCUCCCAAAGACCCCAUCUCCAAGCACCGUCUGUCUCAGUCCAUCUUCUGUUGCUUUGACAAAGGCCCUGAGUCUGAUUGCUUCAUAAAGAAGAGGGGUUUAUCUGGCUCACUGCUCUGGGGGCUGGGAAGCCCAAGAGCACAGCACGUGCAUCUGGUGAGGGCCUCCUAGCUGCGCUUUGACUCGGUGGGGGUAUCCCACGGCGACAGGGAAGAGGUACGCCAACUCGGGUCUCUCUUCCUCUUCUUACAAAGCGGCUGAUGGCAUCCUGGGGCCCCACCUGCAUGGCCUCAUCUAAUCAGGACUCCCCACCCCCAGAGGCCCUCCCUCCAUACACUGCAAACGCAUGAGUCCCUGGGGACACAUCCAAAACAUAGGACCACCACAUCUGGAGCCAGGGCUCCAGCACAGGGUACUGGGGGAGCAGAGCUUAGUCCACAGCAGGGGGCAAGGUGCUUAAGCAUCUUCAUGACUGCCUCCCUCCCCCCGCCCCCGGUCAGGACUGUGGUUUGUUUUUGUUUGCUUCCCGGAUUCUGCACCUCUUAGGCUGUAUUCCCAUUUGUGGCAGGGAGCAGGUGCAGCAGAGGAAAGUGGAUGACAGGAGCAGGUGCUAUGGAAAGAGCUGUCGGCUCAAGGAGGACCUGGCUGCCAGAUAGGACACAGAAAUGUGCUGUCCUCACACAUGGACGUGGGUCCCCACGGCUGGGCUCGGGCACCGGGGGCACCGCGUGAUGGGAGCCCCAGCCCUCCCCCAGUUCCUCACCCAGUUCCUCAGCUGUCUGGCUGUGAUGGCAACAGAGGCUGCAGCCUCCUGAGACUUUGUCUGUGGCCCUUUGUCCUCCCUAGAAGAAGACCACCCGCAGUACUCACUGUGUAGUGCUGAGUCCAGCUCCAGCAGGUCCCAGGGUUCCUGAAGGUGUGGGAGGUGUUGGCACAGGAAGAAAUGAGAGACACACUCACAGCAAGCUGAUGGCGUGGCUCAAGCACCAGACUUUAUUUUUGUAUCAUGUCACAUAAUGAUGCUUUCUACUUACAAUAACAAGUCUGUUGUCCAUUUUCAUCUACUUAAAAUUUCCUUGAUUUUCAAGGACAUUUUCAGAGCAUGGGUCACAAUCAUAGGUAUGAGACAACGAUUUUCAAAGGCAUGCUCAAAGCAUUAGUUACUGUCACCGACAGGUGCGAGACAACGGGCUGCCCACACAAGCCAAGGUCAGGAGUGCUGUUGAGCUAGAGUACCACCUUCCUAAUCUAAUCUUUACUAGAAGCCCAAUGUUCAAAGCAGGCCCUUUUCUAAAUGCUUCCCCUCUUCUGCAGUUCUUUCUGUAACUCUUUCAUUUCUUUAUUGUACUUACCUAAAGGUUCACUAGGUCUAUUCCACAGUUCUGACAUCCUAACCAUUGUUGUAUUUGUAGCACAUACUGAAUUAAAGCUGUAAUAACAUUUAUCUUUAUUCUAGUGGGACGUAUGUACCAGGGAGCCCGUUGCCUUUUAAUUCUUUCCCACAAACGGCUCAACCUUGUGUGAAGCAUUAACCCCUUCUCCUACAUAACAUUCUGCCUGAUGAAAACUCUACAAAGCAAUGGACGUCUUGGGGGUUAUGAGACUAAGCGCUUUUCCCUGAAAUUAGUGGGGCCACCAGGAAGCUCCGGCUUUCUUACGCAGAGUGUAGUUCCCAGCAAACCGAAAACCACCACGAGGACCGCAGCUGUCUUUCUCAGCCUUGCUGAGACAGACCUUCCACUGGGACCUUGUCAGCCAGCCCAAGUUGCCUCAACCUCGCCAGUGUAGACCCUUCCAAAUAGAGACCCCCAAGUAGGGCUCAGGGCAGUGUUUAUUGAAGUGGUAUGUCCCUGUCAUCCAGAAAGUCAUUUUUAAUAAGUCAUGCACUCAUGACUAAUCAUUUUCUCCACUUUUUAUUUUCCGAAUAGGACACAGAAAUGCGCCAAGCUAUUUAUCCCUUUCCUGUUUCCCCUGUUAAUGGGAAAAAACCUGCCAUCUUUCCAUGUCUACAAUGGAACUGAACAUUUCUUGUGAAACACACAUCUCAGGGAAAAACCCAUCGCCGACCUGCUUCCUCUUAUUCUUGAGUCCCUGGAGCAGUGGCUGCUGUUUGUGCCUUCUGACUUCUACUUCCCGAGUUGGAGAGUUACGUCUGUUCUCUCAGUAGUACAAGGGUGCUUUAGAAAGUCUGGGAAAACGGAGUUAAGACGUGCAUUUCUGGAACUGGCCUUGCGGCAUAAUGGGUAGAGCCUGUAAUGCCAGCAUCCCGUACGGGCACCAGUUCGUGUCCUGGCUGCUCCACUUCUGAUUGAGCUGCCUGCUAAAGGCCCCUGCACCCACGUAGGAGACCUAGGGGAAGCCUCUGGCUCCCGGCUUCACCAUGGCCCAGGCCUGGCCAUUGCAGCAGCUUCUAGGGGAGUAAACCAGCAGAUGGACGAUUUCUCUCUCUCUCUCUCUCUCAAACAAAUAAAUGUUUUUAAAAUGUACAUUUCUUUUGGUGCAAAAAAAAAAAAAUCCACUCCUGCCUUUUUGAUACUUAGCUUUGGAAGACCCCUUGCAUCUGAGGGUGCAUUGCCGGUGUGCAGACUGCAGUGUGGCUGGCAAGCCAUCUGUGUCCUCACCCCCACUGCGUGUGCACAUCUCUAUCCUCCUCUCAACCUAAGGGCCAAGGGCAGCAAGGACUAACACCAAUGCACACAGCUGCAGAAUAGCAGGUGUAGCUCACAUGGGGCCAGAAAGGGGCCCCGAGUCGCCGUCCUGGUGCAGGGCCGAUAUGGUGUCCGCAAAAUGUCCAGUGGUCAGUCUGAUCCCAACACCUUUUUAAACGUGAUGAAGGAGGCAGAGGGUCCUGGGAAUGUACAGUUUGUACAGUCGUCCCUCCGUAUCCAUGGUGAUUGGUUCCAGGAACCCCCAAGGAUACUAGAAUCCACAGGUGCUCAAGCCCCUCAUGUGCAGCGGUGUAGAACUUGCACAGUCUCCGUCAUCCUUUUGUGCACCUGGAGUCAUCCCUGCAUGGCCCACACUACCCUCUCGCAAUGUCAAUAGCUAUUAGGUUGUGUUUUUAGGGGAACUGACAAGAAACAGGCAUGCUCUGUGCAGCUGCAGGCACCUCCGACCCGUAGUUGGCCGAGUGUGGAAGCCGCGGACCCAGAGGGCCGAGUGCAUGGCGCCAGUGGCUGCCGCCCUCCCAGCGUGGUAGCCUGUGCAGCCGCCACGCCGGGAAGUUCACUGCCCACUCCAGCUGUGCUGCAGCUGGACCGUGCCACCCACUCACCUGCAGGGCUUGCGGCAGCACAGUUUCUGGUGCAGUGAGUGCAGGUGUGUUUCCUGUUGCCGUGUCGUAAAUUACCACGCAUCCAGUGGCUCACGGCCGCUCCAGUUUCCCAGCUGGCAGAGCUGGCAGUCAGGAGCCUGGCGUGCUUGGCUGGGCUCGGGCUCUGCAGGGCUGGGCCAGGUUCCCGUCUGCAGGCUUGGGAGCAGGCUGCACUUCCAAGUGUGUUCAGAUCCCAGCGUCCAGCUCCCGGAGCCACCGUGUUCCUUGCCAUGCAGCCCCCCCAACUUGAUGGCCAGCAACAGAGAGCACCUCCCAUGGGUCUCUGCUCAGGGCCCAGCCAGCCUGAGCCGGGAGUAGAGUCCACGCUGGUCAGACCCCAGCAGGGGAUGCAGCCGGUUCACCCAGGGGUAGGCCUCGGGGCUGCUUUGCAAUCCCGCCCAGCACAGCAGGUGGUGGGUGAGUUGUGUGUUCCGCUCAUUUCCCAGGUAAGGCUGCUGUGGGGACCAGGGGCUGAGAAGGACCCUCCUCUGCUCGUUCUACACACUGAACAAUCAGAUGAUUCCCAAUUCACAGAUGAGGACACUGAGGCCCAGAGUGUUUAGUAUUCAAGAAGUGUAACGGCCAGUACAGCUCAGGCACUGGGCAGUGAGAAUGGAUCUCAAGCCAAUAGGACAGAUUCUGGCUAUACAGAACCACAGGGCCACCCUGGCCAGCACAGUGUGGCAGGACCCCCAGCAGACAAGGGCAGCAGCCAUUGCUUGUGCCCACAUCCCCCUGACACCUGGCCCCGGGUUCUGGAUACCCCGCGUGCCCACUCUGAAGAGGGAAAUGUCAUCCCCACCACGGCUGCUUCAGGAGACAACAAAAUCAAGAGACCGCAGUCUGUUGACACCCAAACCCGUCUUUCGGACCUUCGAUCUGCUGACACUGUAGGACGCUCCUUUCUCAAGGCUGAAGUCGACCCGUGCUGAUUUCCUCUGGCUGAAGCGUCACGCUCCGCCCAAAGACAACACGGGCUUUUUACCGUUUUGUCCCGGAGGUCAGAAGGCUGUGAGACCUGGUGAGGCCAAAUCCAGGCAUCAGCCAGGCUGGCUCCUCCGCACCCCUGCCUUUCCCGAGACUGCAGAGGCAUCUGGGCUCUUUGGCCCACGGCCCUGCCCCACUGCGACUCUGCUUCCCUCACUCCCUGCCCCUCGCUCUCUCUGACCCUCCUGCCUUCCCCACGUGCACACUCUGCAAGAGGAUCCAUCGCCACCCCGGCUCCGGAAGCUUAGCGUGUUCACACCCGCGGGGCCCUUUGCCACGUGUGGUGCCGCCUUCCCAGGUUCCGAGGGCUACAGACUGCUCUCGCUUCAGGGGAGGGGGCGUGAUUCAGCCCCCACACGCCCCCAGCCUGAGCCCCACCUUGCUGCAGAUCUAACAGCCAGCACUUGAGUAGGACUCCCUGGGUGCUAAGUCCUAGGUAGACCUGAGUUAGUGAGUGCUACAGCCAGUGUGCGUCUAGACUGUGUGGUGUGGUGCCCCUUCUUCUUCUUUUUUUUUUUUUUUUUUAUUGUUAAGAUUUAUUUGAAAAACAGAGUUACAGAGAGAGAGAAAGACAAAGAGAGAGAUCUUCCAUCUGCUGGUUCACUCCCCAAAUGGCUGCAACAGAGGCCAGAGCUGGGAGCUUCAUCUGGUCUCCCACGUGGGUGCAGGCACUCAAACACAUAGGCCAUCCCUCUGCUGCUUUCCCAGGCACAUUCCCAGGGAGUUGGAUCGGAAGUGAAGCAGCAGGGACUCGAACCAGCGCCCAUACAGCAUGCUGGUGGUGUUGCAGGCGGCUGCUUAACCGGCUGUGCCACAACACUGGCCCCCGUGGUGUCCCUUCAAAUGCAGAUACAAACCUGGAGCCCAGAGGAGUUGAGAGCCUUCAUCCAAGGUCACAGCUAAGAAGUGAGGACAUCAUCAGGGUCCACACCCAGUUAGUGUGGCUCCAGUGAUGCUGCGACCGCCCUGCGUAUGCCCCUCACACAUGUACGGACCAUGGUGUAGUAUGACACAGAGCCAGACCCGCCCUCACCGCCACCCCGACCCCUAACCUGCCCUUCCCCUCCCGCCCAGCGCCCCUGAGAAAGACCCUGCUCUCCUUGACUUGCUUUCCGAAUCUAAGUCCACACAACCCUUGCCACGUCCGCCCAGCUUGGAGAUAGCCCUCCGGUUACUGCUGUUGCGAAGGCAGCCACCCCAAGCUCGGCGGCUUCACGCGGCAGUGGGCAGUCUUGGCAGAGACGGUCCUCCUCUCCUCUGCGCAUCCUCUGCUGUGUUUGCUCGGCUGGGGUCCAGGCCACCACUCUCAAGAUGCCCCAGUCAGAGCUGGCAAGGGGUGCCGACUCGCAGGCGGGAGCUCUGCCCGGGCUUUGGGCCAGGGGCUUCAGUUCCAGUCCACGCGGGCCUCUCCCUGGGCUGCUUAGGCUUCCUGACAGCGUGGUCACUGGAUCCCAGGGAUCCCAAGAGGGAGGGCCCUGAGGAUCCAGGUAGGAGCGCAUGCGUCGUUUUGGCCUCACCCUGGAGGGCACGUGGUGUCUAUUUCUAUUUUUAUAUUUUUUUUAUAUUUUACCAUAUAGCACAGGUUGAGGCACUCACAAAGGGCGCUCAGCCUCUCGAUGGGGCAAUGGCGGGGUCCUACCUACCAGCAUAGAGACAGGACACUGUUGCAGCCGUCCUCUGAAAAUGCCUUCAUCCCAGCUCCCCGCAGCGGCCAUACCACACAGCGGCCUCCCUGCCCCUCACCUCCCCGGCCAAGGACACAUUGCUCUUCAAGCCUCCCAGGUUUGUCCAGGCCUGGGCGUGUGGCACCACAGUUCAGUCACCUCUUGGGAUGCCCACAUCGCGUAUCAGAGUGCCUGGGUCAAGUCCCAGCUUCACUUCCAGUCCCGCUUCCUGCUAACGCAGGAGGCAGGGGACAGUGGCUUAGCCACCGUGGAAGGCCCAGAUUGAGUUCCAGACUGCUGGCCUGGGCCUGACUUAGCCCUGGCUGUUGCAGUCCUUUGGGGAGUAAGGCAGCAAAUGGAAGAUUCUUUCUCUCCUCAAUCUCUCUCUCUCUCUCUCUCUCUCUCUCUGCCUUUUAAAUAAACAUUGUCUACUAUAUUAAUUUGCAUAUUUUGAUGUUCUUACUUUGCAAGAGUCGUUUUUGUUUUAAAAAGAAGGUAUGAAGGUAAGAUUUCCCAAGAAAUCCACAUCAGUUAGCAGAUACUAGCUCUCGGCUAGCUAGCUAUACUAGCUCGCAAUAAAAGCAACCAAAGGAAUUUGUUUAAAAUGAAUAAUGUGAAUCAAAGCAGCUUUAUACGAGUUGAUAAAGACAAUGUUGACGAUCUUGAUUUGGUUUUUUUUGCAAGCAGGAAUGAGGAAAUGCGGGGAUUUAUUCUUUUCUCACUCCUUUGAUCCCUAACCCUGUUCCCAAGUCCUUUAUCCACAGGACUUUGUGUUGAGGUGGGGUCGUGCCUUACUAGACCAGCCCAGGCUGAUGACACGGCCACCUCCUGUGUUCUGAGACGAGAGUGCAGCACACACACAGAGCACUUGCGUCAUCUUGUCACCCAGGCUGCGGCCUUGUCUGCCAGGUAUCAGUGUGGAACCCCUGUAGGGCCAGGAGCUGUGUCCUAGGCUUUGGGGCCCCCAGCAGAGCACAGAGCACAGCACUGAACACCUGGCAGGGCUUAGUGCACAGUUCAUGACCACGUUGACCGUGAGCGUCUUGAAAGAUGGCCGUACCUUCCUCCUUAUCUCCAGUGAAGAGCCCAGGACUUAGCUGCACACAUUGGUUCCACAAAUGUUUAUGGAGGCUGUUAAGUGUUCCAGGGCCCAGGGCUUGGCCUGCCCUUAUUGUAGUUUAGGAAAGCAAUUCAAAUGCAGUAAAUCCUAGGACACAGGGUUCCUGGUGUUAGGAGCCUAUGACCCAGCCAUGGCUCCAAGAAGACACAUGGCAGGUCCUUAAUAAAUGGUGGUUGAAUGAAUGGACAAAUCCAUUAUUUUCCUUUAGACUUGGGAAGUCGGCUGUUAACCCUGAACAGCCCAUACAAGGAUCUUCCGUGUGGGUGCUUGAAAAAUAGACAUUUCAUCCCUAGGGAGGCAGCACCCAGGUCCAGAAGAGCCCACCUGCCCAGGGAAUUUUCUCCUGUAACUGACCUACAGCCUGGAAUGUUUCCCUUAGCGAUGCAUUCCUCUGGGGGUUGAGACUUUGAUCUCCAGAAUUUGUUGAUUAAAUACAAACUCUGUUGUGUUUAGCCUACACUGAACAGCUAUCAUUAACGCCAUAACGGGACAAAGUCUCCUGGGUAACCUUGCAUCACGUUAGCAGAGAGAUUCAGAGGAAGGGGCUGUCCAGGGAGAAAGUAGAAGGCUGGGGUGUGAACUGGGACAGAGAGAAUGAAGACAACUCUGCAGACGAGCAAGGAGCAGGUGUGGGGACGACACAUACCCCCGUGUGGCAGCGACAGGAGAGAGUUCAGUGGUUCUGCACAGAGGGCAUCGCAUCUGCAGUACCUGUCGGCAGAUUUGGGGUAUCGCUCUUGUGCUGGCCACGCUAGGGCCUGCGGAAGGUAGAAGCUCUGCUCACACUGAUGCAGAGCGUGGCGCAGUCCCUCAGGGCACAGAGCAGGCACACUCCCCUGACUGUCCCCGGUGCCCCAACGGCUCGACUGACUGUAGUGAGAAUGGCUCACCCAACACAGCUGCUUCAUCAGCUAUUUCACUAGAGAACAACAGUUGGCCAGAGAGAUUGUCAAAGAAAAGCAAGGGGCUGGUGCUGUGGCGUAGCGGGUAAAGCCGCCGUCUGCUGUCCCAGCAUCCCAUAUAGGCGCCAGUUUGAGUCCUGGCUGCUCCACUUCUGAUCCAGCUCUCUGCUAUGGCCUGGGAAAGCAGUGGAGGAUGACCCAAGUCCUUGGGCCCCUGCACCUGUGUGGGAGACCUGGAAGAAGCUCCUGGCUCCUGGCUCCUGGCUUUGGAUUGGCCCAGCUGCAGCCAUUGUGGCCCUUUGGGGGAGUGAACCAGCAGAUAGAAGAUUCUCUCUCUCUCUCUGUCUGUGUCUCUGUCUCUCUCUCUGCCUCUCCUCUCUCUGUGUAACUCUGACUCUCAAAUAAAUAAAUCUUUUAAAGGAAAAACAAAAUCAAAAUAUUUUCUGGUGAAACCUCUGUAUUUAAAAAUAUUUGGGUAAGAAAGGGGCUCUUUCAGCAGCAUGCCAUCCACACAGUAAUGGAGUAAAAAUACCUGCUUUGGGGACUGUGUUUAACAAAUAUAGAGUAAACAAAGGCCGUGAUUCCAAAACACUAUUCGAAACAAAGGGGAGGGCAGAUUCUCCUCUCUGGCUAACCUUCAACCUCACACAGUAUGUCUGUUAACCACGGUUCCCUUGACCUUUGAAAUACCACCUCUGAUGGGGGGCAGGGAGAAAGGAAAGUCAGUUUUCAUUACCAAAGAAGUAAAUGUUCAGCCAUCGUGAGAAUUCCCGUAAAUCCAAAUGAGCAAAAAUGGGAAAGACUGCAACUUUCUCAACACCCAUUCUUUCUUCUUACCAAAAUGGAAUGAGAACAGGAAGCUCCGGGGAUAGGCAUUUGGCACCGUGGUGAAGGCACUGCUUGGAACGCCCACAUCGCAUAUCAGAGUGCCAAGUUCAAGUCCCAGCUCUGCUUUCCACGCCAGCCUCCUGCAAGUGCACAUUCUGGGAGACACCAGGUGAUGGCUCAAGUGCUUGGUGGGGGGAGGGUGGAAGGUCUCUGUCUAUCUCUCUGCCUCUCUGCCUUUCAAAUUAAAUGAAAAUAAAAAAAUAGAAAAAUGUUAGAAGCUAAACAUUACUGUGUAACCUUUUUUUUUCUCUGUGCAGUCUUAAACAUGUUUUCAUAUCAUUAGCUUUUACCCUUUUCUCGUGAGUAGCUCUGUAGUCGAAUGAGUGGAUUUAGCAUAGUUAUCACCUGGACAUUGACGGGCUACUUCGUGUGCAUAGCAGCCUUGAGGGAACACGCGUGCAGGCUAAACCUUAGCCCAUAGCCAUGAGGAUUUCUGUAGAACAAAUUCCUGGCCAUGAACCUGUUGGGUUUUGGUUGAUGUGAUGCGUCCUGGGGGCUUAGACUGUGGGUUUUACUGCUAGUUUUUCCCGUGUUCCUUUUGACGGGCUGGUGACCGCAGGUGGAAAUGGCCGUGUGUUCGCGACACCCAGCCCAGGAGCAGGCGUGCUGCUGCUGAGAGAGGUUUCAGACGAUUGUCCUAGGGUUCGGGUCUUGGGAGCCUCCUCGUGGCUUGCACUUGGGUCUUGUUGCUUGGCUGGUGGGCUGCUGUGGUAGCCGCUGCGAUGCGUCUCGGGCCCCUUCAGGGAUAAAGGGCUUGUCCCCUGGCUGCCAAGCUGAUGACUCGGCCAAGGGCACCCACCCCACCCAGGUCCUGUGCCCUUCCCAACAUCACCCCUUCCCCACAACUGGCCAGGGUGGAGAGUUGGGACCCAGCCAGGGUCACCCCCCACACUGCAGGUGCCCCACAGGGACAAAGCUUCCACAGGGACCAGGGUGCAGCUGCACGCUCCCUCUCCGGACUGCUCCCCGCCCCCACUUCAUCUCCAGCACAGGUGCUCUGACAGCUGGGUGGGGGCUGGUUGGUUGGGAGUGGACAUCCUUGAUCGCUGAAUAAGUCAGGUAAUUGCAACCCUGCAGGGGCAGCAAGGGCCACCGUGCCCGCCCUCAGUGGGUGGCUCAGGCUCAAAGGGGGAGGGGCUCUUAAAUGGGUGGAGUUAGACCCACUCUUCCUAACAGACACAACUCAGUGGGAAGAUGGGUCAGACCGUAUCCUAGAUUUUCCCAAGAGCAGCUUCAAAUGCUAUCUUCUCAAAAUAAUGUCUUUAAAAAAAAAAUGACCUUACAGAGCUCACUUUGAAUACACCUGGAUCUCUUGCUGUGUCUUCUGCUGCUGGCUGUGACAGAAGCUUCCUGGCUGCACUAACGGCAGGCAAAUUCUGCAGGAAUCUCUAAUACCAUGGUUUGGAUUCUCGGCCGUACGGUCCACCACCGUCCUGUGCUGGCCCAGUGGUUCCUUACGGAUGACCGCUCCAGAAACCAGCUAUGGCGUACACGCGUUUAAACAGAAUCAGGGUCGUCCCUGUACCUGCGUUUCACCAUUGCCUGGCACUUUCGGCGUCAUUUCCGGAGUGGGAGAGAAUGUCUCACCAAUGCCCGGGGAGCCGCCCACUGGAAGCACAUUGCCCCAUCUUGGGCCAGGCAGAAAUGUCCACCCGGGGCUGCCGCGUGAGGAGUGAGGGACGCGUGCUCCGGAUGGAGAAGUUGUCGGGUGUGGAGCAGCGUGACCCUCGGGAUGGGUCAGCCGCCCCGCCUGCACCCCGGCACCUGGCAGGGGACUAAGCUCUCUUUGACGGAUCACUGAAUUUGAGUAAGAGGCUGAAAACCCAAACAGCUCUGGGGUUUGGUCAGCCAGGGAAGGGCCAGUUGGAGACCAUGGGGGUCGCUGGUGUUUGGGAAACACACAUUUCCCCAGGGGACGCCUGCACGGAGCUCAGCGUGGCCACAGCUUCCUUUCUUUCUUUCUCUCCCUGCAAAAGUCAGAAAUCCUCCUUCUGAAGAAAAUGUUCCAGUGUUUAAAUAUUGACAACUGACUGUUCUACAGUCGAGACGGCGAACCAACCGGGUCGUCCCCGGCCUGGGGCAUGGGCCUGGAGCAGGGUACACACUUUGCGGGGCUGAUGUCUGAGCCGUGGCGGGGUCACGUGUGCUCUGUGUGUAUUGUGUCUCAGGCAGGUGUUGGAGUCACACAGGUCUGAUUUCCUCGUGUGACUUUCCUGACUGACCCCGCCAUCAGCCGUGGAUGCAGUGCCAAGUGUGGGAAGCAAGGGCCUGGUUCGUGACUCUCGGCUGGAAACAGGGCGUAGGGUGGGGAAUGGAAAUAGGAGGUAAGAGCACAGGACCCACCUCACGCUGCACUUGGCAAAACAAAACAACAACAACAACAAACCAAACCAUUUCUAGGCUGACUCCUGGAUUUGAAAACCGGCUGUGGAUACACACUGGGCUUAGGAGAGUCACUGAGGACUGUGUUAAAGACCUAGAGAUUUUAGCCACUACUGUCCUUGUGCCCUCCCUCCCUGACCGUGUCGCCUUUGAUCUUCUGCCUAAGUUGAGCCAGUCGCUUGCCAGGUAUGGGUGUGCUGUUUGUGUUUGUCCCCAGCCCAGGGCAGGGCCAGGCCACUGGAAGAAGCUUCCAGAAUGAGCCCCUGGGCUCCCAGGCAAGGGCGUGGUUGGCGGUUCUUCCCAGAGUGAGGAGGAACAAGGCUCUCCCUUGGGCUGCCCUGCUCAGAAGCAGGACUCGGGCUUUGAGUGCGAAGGGGCAGGUUCCGGCGCCGGAAUAAACCAGCCGUGGGGACUGCAAUCCACAGCCCACUGUAUUGCACAGCCCACUCCUGGGGCGAUGCUUGCCCGGGUUCUUGUCUCUGCAGAUCUGCUCCCCUGGCUGGGCACGGCAUCAAAGCCAAGGUCACAAUCAGUGAUUAAACAAGGUGGGUGUGGAGAGGAACAGACCAGAAGGAGCGAGGAAGGGGUGACUAAUGAGGCGGCCGCGGCCCCAGUCGUCUCUGAACAAAGCGCCACCUCCCUUAAUCCCGUCUGCUGGUCUCCAGGUCGCUGCACGUCGCCCUGAGUCGCCCCUGGCUGUUUUCUUCAUCUUAAACUUUGCACGCAGUGUGUUUCCAAGCAGUUGCAGCCGGGCAGUUAACCUUUAUGUACUGAGGAAAGAUUGAAGUAAUAAGGAAACGGGAGUUAACAGGCGGCUGCGCACACAUGGAAUUCGCAAACAAGACGGAAUCUGCCAUGAACUGUGACCUCCAGCUCUGGAGUACUUGUCGGAGUGCAUCGCCCUGCUCUGAGAUGGUGCCUUCCGCCUUGUCUGUCUGUCUGUCUGUCUGCCUGCCUUCCUCUCUCUGUUUUCCUCUUGGAUGAUUACGACUUUCCUUUAUUUACGCCCUAAGCGCACAGACCACAAUGGCAGGCGGUUAGCGCGCUGGCCUUGACCGCCGUGAGUUUGCCUCGCCGGUGCCUCCACUGUUGGUGGCGCUGGCACACGGUGGCCAUUCGUAUCUUUUUAUCGGAGGAAUUGGAAAUCCUGAAUCAGCCAGAGACGCGCGUUAUCUGCAGGCAACUCUUGCCCUGAUUCGUGCAGAGAGCCAGGCUUCUCCGUAGCUUCCAAAGUCUCAAAAAUGCGCCAGGCCGAAGUCUGUUAUUAAUCUCACUUCUUGGUAACCAACUCUGUUUUCCUACGGAAGACGGGUGCUUAUUCAACUGAAAAGAGAUUUUCUUAGAGGAUGAGUUUCUUACUGCAGCUGGGUGGGGGGGGGUCCUCAGCGGUCCUUCUCCACGGUUGGAGACCUGCGCCCCUCUUGUUGCCCCAGGGCAUUGUGGGUAGGGCCUCCCAUCAGGGGAAAAACCAACUAUCUACAUUGCUUUCCACUUUCCCUAUGGCCAAGCACAUUUUACCUGUAAUAAAACAACACUGAGAGCAAUAAAUUCCUGAGGCCGAAUCUGAUUUCCAA